AUAUUUCUGCACGGCCCGAUCAAUAGUUCAAGUCACACACUCCCAUAAUCCAUUUUCUCUUCAUAGAAUUCCCUUCAACUUUUUAUGUCAAAAAAAUAAUACAAUAUUGUGGAGUUGAAGGGAAAUAUCCAAAUACAUGUCUUAUUUUUUUAAUAAUCCAUAUUUAUAGCAAUAAAAUACGAUUGUUCCUUCACCAAGUAAUAAGAUAAAUUAGUAAUUAAAAAUAUCUAGAAUCUAUAUUAUUUAUAAGGGACCAGAAAUACCUUGCUUACGUAUCAUUAAGAAAUGCAUUAACAUAAAUACAGCCGUAAGAAGAGGUAAUACAAAAGUGUGUAAACUAUAAAAACGAGUCAAAGUGGAUUGUCCAACACUAGCACUUCCGCGUAAUAAUUCUACAAGAGGCGAUCCUAUUACCGGAAUAGCGUCAGGUACACCUGUUACAAUUUUGACUGCCCAAUAGCCAAUUUGAUCCCAAGGUAAAGAAUAACCUGUUACACCAAAAGAUGCGGUCAAUACACCCAGAACCACACCAGUAACCCAAGUUAAUUCGCGAGGUUUUUUAAAACCACCGGUGAGGUAUACACGAAAUACGUGCAGGAUCAUCAUUAGGACCAUCAUACUUGCCGACCAUCGAUGAACUGAUCGGAUUAACCAACCAAAGUUAGCUUCAGUCAUUAUAUAUUGAACAGAAGCAAAAGCCUCAGUAACAGUUGGACGGUAAUAAAAAGUCAUAGCAAAUCCCGUAGCUACUUGUACUAAAAAACAAGUAAGGGUAAUUCCUCCUAGACAAUAAAAUAUGUUGACAUGCGGAGGAACAUAUUUACUAGUUAUAUCGUCUGCAAUCGCUUGAAUCUCAAGACGUUCUUCGAACCAAUCAUAAACUUUAUUGAGAUAGGUAAACCAAGGUUCCUCCCCCUCCAAGAACUGUAUAUGAGAAUUUCAUCUCGUACAGCUCAAACAAAAAAAAGACCCAAAUACUGAUUGAAACGGAUAUGGAAUAUAAAGUUUUAAACUUCUCUCUCAUUCAAUAUUAUUUAAGAGUCAAAAUGCGAAAGCUCUUCUUUGUGGUUAAAUGCCAAAAACUCAAGUCAGCUCAUACGUCUUUAUGUUGUGUUGAUCGUUACAGGCCUCUUGAAUCUUCUAGAUUACCUACCGUUAUUGUCUUUUUUAGUUGGUAUUUGUAUGGAAUGGGAAUACGGAUUUCUUCUUGUUUUCUUUAUUAUUGAUAGGAAUUUUCUUGUUAAGACCCUACUUAUUAAUUGAAACCUCAGAUUCAUACGAAAACCACGAUAAUUCAAUGAAACCUUCAAAGUCCAAAGUUCACAAUAUAUAUAUAUUUAUUUAUUUUUAUUACAAAAUAUAUAAAAUAUAUAUUACUGAUUAAAUUUUAAAAAUAUUUUAAACAUUAUCUGCAUAUAAAUUUUAGAUAGUAAACACAAUUUUUUUGCCCUAAAACUCCUAAUAGUGUUGAGAAGGUCCUCCUCUCUAGUCUCUAAGACCACCUCCAUCGGAAGUUUUACGAAGGAGUUCUAAUAAAAAAAGACAAAAAAAAAAAUAAAAAAAAGCUAAAAACAGAGAACCUGUGGUUAAUAUGUUUUUUUUAGAAUUGGUUAGAACCCAUACGUGUCACUUUAGUAUUGGGUAAUAAAUUUUCCCCUGUCUCUCUCUUCGGGAAUCUCUUUGUUGAUGUUUUUCACGAAAUCAAUUAACAGUUGAUUUUUCAGAAGGAAGAAGCUCGAGAGAUGGAGGAUGCCGUUCUAUUGAAGCCGACGCAUAGGCUCAAGUAUCAUUUUCUCCUCAGCUUCUGCCAUGUCCGGAGAAGAAGAAGAGAACGCCGUCGAACUCAAGAUUGGAGAUGGUAACCUCUCUGUUAUUCCCGUCUUUGUAUCCCCAGCUACUGUAUUGCAAAAUUAAGGUUUUUUAUUUUUUUCUUUUCAUUCGAAUUGGUCUUAGUCCAUUACGAUUCUUUUCGAUUGAUCUUACACUUUUUCAAAAUCUGUACUCAAUUUUACACUGAAAUUUAUGGGCUUGAUUCCUUUGUUGGCAAUCAGAGUUUUUGAAGGCAAAGUGCUUAAUGAACUGUGAAGUGUCUUUGAUAUUUGAGCACAAGUAUGAACAUCUUCAGCAAGUCUCCGAGGAUCCUAUGAAUCAAGUUUCUCAGUUAAGUCUUUUUAAAAAGUUUUGUGCUUUGUAGAGAUUCACUGCCAAUUAGCAAUCAAUAAAUUCAAGAGCCUUCGGUCUUGUAGACUAAAGAAUUGAAGAAUGUACGGAGAUUUUUUAUAUAUGUCUGCACUGAUGCAUAUUACUUUUAGAUGCACGCUAUUUUGUACUAGUAGUGUUUAUGCCAGUUUCAUUAUCCUGAGGAAAGAAAAUAGUACUUUAUUGGUGAUUGAAUUUUGUUUACUCUUUGCAGAGUGUUUGAAAAGUCCUUGCAAUAUGUGAAGCGAUUUAGUCGGUACAAGAAUCCAGAUGUUGUUCAACAAGUUCGAGAGUAUCCUCUUUCUGUAUGAUUAGUUUAUUCAGUAGACCUAGUAUUACAAGAAUGCAUUGAUUAUGCUUUUAUUAGCACUUAACCCAUGAAUGAGAGAGUUUAAUGUCAUUGGUUCAGUUCUUUAGUUUUGUGAGAGUAUAUAUGCCGUAUGAUUUUGACAGAAUCUUGAGCAGGCAUCAGCUCACUGAGUUUGAGGUAAGAUGUUCAAACCUUUUGAGAUUGGAUUUUUUUGGUCAUCAGCUAAGUUUUUUAGACAGAAGGUUUUAAACCAUUGUGGUGGUCAUUAUUGAACAGCUCUGUGUUCUUUGCAAUCUCUGUCCUAAAACUGCUGAAGAAGCAGUGGCAAUGGUUCCUUCUCUCAAGGUAAAAAGAAAAAAAAUCAUUCUACUUUCUCUAUUCCUAGAAAGAACAAAUAGCCUUGUUAUGUCUGUGGACUUUUGCGAUGAUGUAAGCUUCUGUUUUGUGUAGACAAAAGGAAGAGCUCAUAGUGAUGAAGUGAUCGAGAAGAUGCUUAAUGAUCUCUCCCUUGUCAAGAGAUUCGAGUAGUUGCGGAAAGUUCUCAAGAUAUAAGAUUAUAAACAUAUUUCAGGGGACUACAUUUUCCUUAUAGCUGUUGAUGUCUGAGAGUUAGUUUUUCAUGUCUAAAAUUAUAAAACUUUCAUGCUCAGAAUCUCUGUAAUGACAUCUUUUUAAUAUGUUUUAUGUCAUAUUUAUUUAAAUUUUUACGAAAUCCAAUCAUUCAAUUUCUAAAAAAAAAAAAAAAAUUUAAGAACCUCAAAGAGGUUUUCCCAUUGGAUCAUGACAAAUUUAAUUACAUUAAUAAAAGUUCUAAACUUUACAAAUUACAAAAUUAAUUACUAAACUAAUCAUUAGAACCCAUCAUGAGCUCUAACCAUUGGACAUGCUCUAAUAUUCCAAGGUUGUCUCUUCAAUAAAGUAUAAACAACAAUGUUUUUGGUAGUACUAUUACACUAACUGCUCUCUCUCAGUGUGUGUUUACAGUGUUAAUGGUCCAUAUUCUUUUUUUUUUUUUUUUGUAACUUAAUGGUCCAUAUUCUGCGACCUCAGUUUGGUAAAAAAAAUUCUGAUAUCUGACAGCCACCAGCAAUGGCUGUUAAUUUAUCGUACCGUUUUUAGCUUUUCUGUGAUUAGUACUACAAUAUUAAAAACCACACAUUAAUUUUGUUAACAUCUGAUUUAGACUACAUGGUGGUUUUCUUGCUCAGACUCCAUUCUGCUUUAUGCCGUUUGUUCUAGGUGUAACCUAUAUCUUUUAUCUCUUGUGAGGUCCUUGCUGAGUAUUCUUAUUUUGUCACGUUUUUAAUUUCGCCUGAUCAUUAUCACAGCCUACUCAUCUCACUAAAAGUUUGAUAACGAAACAAGAAAGGUCUUCUUGUUCUGGAGGGCUAGAUUAUUUAAUUUACAUUAUUUAGCAUUAACCAUUAUGGUAAUCACUAUUACACAAACAAGUUAGUGGCACAUAUCAUGUUUUUUUAAUAAUCUUUUGAGAUUAAGGAUUUUUAAGAGUUGACCAAGUUGAUUUGCUGCCCUCACUUAAGUGUUUUGCCUUCUCAGCUUCCUUAUCUUUGUAAUUUGAGUUGUUUUUAAUUUCAUUCACUCACGUGAGUCUAACAUCUUCUUUUGGGAAGCUUAAAGAAUGAAGAAAGCAACAUAUCAUAAUGUUAUUAAACUGCACAGUUGAAAUGAUAACUCUGUUCUCAAUAUUGAACUACAGGUAAGCUGCCAUUGGCAGUACAUACAUAUCAAGCUUUACAACAUAACUUCACCUAAGCCUAGUUGACUUGUGUUCAGAAACCAUGUAUAAAUCUUUCAGGUCCUAGUGGUGCUAUAUGCACGCUAAAGCUUCCCUGUGGUGGUUGAUUAGAUGAUGAGGUCGUCUCACUGCAGCCAGCUAUCUUUUGGCAAGUCUGAAUGAGACAGUCCCUGCAAGUGGGACAAGAUGAGUGUGAACUCAGCCAUUUGUCUAUACACCGGACAUGGAACCCGUGGUGACACUUUGGCAGAAGCCUGACUCGCUCUCCGGCCACAAACUCCGAGAGACAUAUGACACACUCUGUAUCAAGACAAGGCAGAUUCAUCUCUUUAGAGUAACUUACCGUCUGGAAACUCUUCAAGGCUUUUCGUUUGACCCCUGUGUUGGCCAUGCGAACUGUAAGCUCCUCACUAGCUUCGGAUGAGUACCUCAACAGACAUCUAAUGAUAGAAUGCAGUCCAAGUGAGCAAACUAGUGCACACAAGAGGACUGAUAAGACCAUAACAACAUUUGCAUCAAAGCUCAUUUGGUGUGCAUGAGAGUGUGAUGCUUCAUGAGCGUCUCCAAAUGGAGGAGAUGCCAUGGUAGGUGGUUGAUAAGCUGUGUUAAGUAGUAGCCUUCUUGAGUAAAAGUUCUCAAGAAAAUCUUCAUAGAUAAUGGGAGCAAAUGUUUCAGCCCACAUGAUUAAACCUAGUUUGAAGAGUUAGAUAGAUAGAUAUAGAUCUUCUAGGUUUUAUUGCAAGUUCUAUAUAUAGUGAAAAGGUAAAGGUUUCAUAUAUUCUGAUACAUUAAUGGGAAAUAGUUUUAAUCGAAUUUUCUUAAUUAUGGUUGGUGGAAUAUGCUGGGAAAUUAGCAAGGUACUUUAGUGAUUUUAGUUUUUAUUUUAGAUAUUAGUCUGCAUCUAGUAUGGAUUCUCCACUGAAUUUGAAUAAUAUUAGUGUGUUUUCUUAUUGAAAAUGGGCCCUUCAUACCAUUUACUGCAAUACUAGUGCCAUGUGGCAGCAAUAUUAGCAAAUCAAAUCCCCAAGAGUUGCUCACAGGGGACCCAUGAGCUUUUGCUGAAGCAGCCAUGAACUUUCCCUAAGAUAAUACAACUCUUGGGUCUUAGCACAUGUCACUGACUUCUCUCUGUUCCUUCAUAGAUAUUAGGGCUUGAUGUUUGAUGCAAACUAAUGAUAUCCAUCUAUACUGAUUAUCUUUGAUUAAUGAUGUAUUAACUAGGGGUAGAUAUUUAUGUAUUUGAUGCUGCAGAGCAGGGGGAAUCUAUCCUUUGGCACAAGUCCCACUCUGAAAAUUACAUAAAGACUAUAAGAUUAUCUGAAAAUGAUUUGUCUUUUCUUUUGUUUGUGCCACUAGGUUCCAUAUAGCUGGUAAGAACAGGUAGUGGUUUGUUUUUUAUCUCUUAUCUGAAAGUGAUUUAACUUUGCCUUUUUAUUUAUUUGUGUUGCUUGGAAUACCAUGUGAUACUCGUGCGUCCUUUGGUUGACAUUCUUGAUUUGGUAGUCUUCCUUGGAACACCAACCUUAAGAAUAUUUCUGGAUGCAUUUGGUUUCGAAAUGGUUUGGCCUCGUUCAAUGUCAAUUGAAGAGUCAUGUAACUAGAUUCAGGAGCACUCUAAUUAAAUCUCUUCUUGUGCUAGAUUGUGCAUUUCCACUACAAGAAACCAGCGGUAUUCUGACGGACAUUUCGACGGAAAAUGAAAUCUUCGGAAUAUCCCGAGGAAUUUCCGAGGAAAUUCCAAGGAAACACAAAAUUUGGUUUCCUCGGAAUUUCCUCGGAAUAUACCGACGGAAUUCCGAGGAAAUAUCAAUCCGUCGGAAUAUUCCGAGGAAAUUCCGAAGAAAAAUGUGUUCCUCGGAAAAAACCGAUGAAUUCCGAGGAAAUAUUAUAGCCGUUGGAGAGCCGUUGGGGGAUUUUACAAAAUUCCGAGGAAAUUCCGACGAACUAGCNNNNNNNNNNNNNNNNNNNNNNNNNNNNNNNNNNNNNNNNNNNNNNNNNNNNNNNNNNNNNNNNNNNNNNNNNNNNNNNNNNNNNNNNNNNNNNNNNNNNNNNNNNNNNNNNNNNNNNNNNNNNNNNNNNNNNNNNNNNNNNNNNNNNNNNNNNNNNNNNNNNNNNNNNNNNNNNNNNNNNNNNNNNNNNNNNNNNNNNNNNNNNNNNNNNNNNNNNNNNNNNNNNNNNNNNNNNNNNNNNNNNNNNNNNNNNNNNNNNNNNNNNNNNNNNNNNNNNNNNNNNNNNNNNNNNNNNNNNNNNNNNNNNNNNNNNNNNNNNNNNNNNNNNNNNNNNNNNNNNNNNNNNNNNNNNNNNNNNNNNNNNNNNNNNNNNNNNNNNNNNNNNNNNNNNNNNNNNNNNNNNNNNNNNNNNNNNNNNNNNNNNNNNNNNNNNNNNNNNNNNNNNNNNNNNNNNNNNNNNNNNNNNNNNNNNNNNNNNNNNNNNNNNNNNNNNNNNNNNNNNNNNNNNNNNNNNNNNNNNNNNNNNNNNNNNNNNNNNNNNNNNNNNNNNNNNNNNNNNNNNNNNNNNNNNNNNNNNNNNNNNNNNNNNNNNNNNNNNNNNNNNNNNNNNNNNNNNNNNNNNNNNNNNNNNNNNNNNNNNNNNNNNNNNNNNNNNNNNNNNNNNNNNNNNNNNNNNNNNNNNNNNNNNNNNNNNNNNNNNNNNNNNNNNNNNNNNNNNNNNNNNNNNNNNNNNNNNNNNNNNNNNNNNNNNNNNNNNNNNNNNNNNNNNNNNNNNNNNNNNNNNNNNNNNNNNNNNNNNNNNNNNNNNNNNNNNNNNNNNNNNNNNNNNNNNNNNNNNNNNNNNNNNNNNNNNNNNNNNNNNNNNNNNNNNNNNNNNNNNNNNNNNNNNNNNNNNNNNNNNNNNNNNNNNNNNNNNNNNNNNNNNNNNNNNNNNNNNNNNNNNNNNNNNNNNNNNNNNNNNNNNNNNNNNNNNNNNNNNNNNNNNNNNNNNNNNNNNNNNNNNNNNNNNNNNNNNNNNNNNNNNNNNNNNNNNNNNNNNNNNNNNNNNNNNNNNNNNNNNNNNNNNNNNNNNNNNNNNNNNNNNNNNNNNNNNNNNNNNNNNNNNNNNNNNNNNNNNNNNNNNNNNNNNNNNNNNNNNNNNNNNNNNNNNNNNNNNNNNNNNNNNNNNNNNNNNNNNNNNNNNNNNNNNNNNNNNNNNNNNNNNNNNNNNNNNNNNNNNNNNNNNNNNNNNNNNNNNNNNNNNNNNNNNNNNNNNNNNNNNNNNNNNNNNNNNNNNNNNNNNNNNNNNNNNNNNNNNNNNNNNNNNNNNNNNNNNNNNNNNNNNNNNNNNNNNNNNNNNNNNNNNNNNNNNNNNNNNNNNNNNNNNNNNNNNNNNNNNNNNNNNNNNNNNNNNNNNNNNNNNNNNNNNNNNNNNNNNNNNNNNNNNNNNNNNNNNNNNNNNNNNNNNNNNNNNNNNNNNNNNNNNNNNNNNNNNNNNNNNNNNNNNNNNNNNNNNNNNNNNNNNNNNNNNNNNNNNNNNNNNNNNNNNNNNNNNNNNNNNNNNNNNNNNNNNNNNNNNNNNNNNNNNNNNNNNNNNNNNNNNNNNNNNNNNNNNNNNNNNNNNNNNNNNNNNNNNNNGUCCCUCGGUAUAUUCCGAGGAAAGGUGUCCCUCGGUAUAUUCCGAGGAAGAUGUCCCUCGGUAUAUUCCGAUCGAUCGAUGGAUAUAUGUCCAAAAACGCAUCGAUCGAUGAACUUCCGAGGAAAUAUCCCGACGAAGUUCUCCCUCGGUAUAUUCCGAGGAGAUUUCCGACAAACUAGUGAUCCUCGGAAUUUCCUCGGAAAUUUGUUUCCUCGGAAUUCCGACUGAAAAUUCCGAGGGAUUUCCGAGGAAAGAAGAAAUUCCGAGGAAUUAUUUCCAAGGACUUGUUUCGUCGGUAUGUCGUCGGAAUAACGUUAUUCCGACGAAAUUCCGACGAUUUUUUCCCUCAGUAUCCUUGCUGUUUUCUUGUAGUGUUCUCUAAUACAUGGCUUUUAGCUCUUUUAAUUAUUUGUCUAGGUUCAAUCUCUAAUACAUAGCUUUUAUCUCUUUUAAUUCUUUGACUAGGUUCAAUCUCUGAUUGAUCAGUCUUGCCCUACUAAUCUUUCUUUAUUUCUUGAUUAUGUAGUGAACUUCAGUUUGUGCUUGGAUGAAUUGGCACAACCUUUUGUUUUCAGCUUUUGCCCUCUACAAGGUUAUGCCGACAGAAAUUUUCCCAUUUUUUAUUGAAUGGCUCUGAAUUAUCUAAUCCUCUAUUAUCCAUUAUACUACAUAAAGUUGAAAAGCAUGUAUCUUCUGAUUGAAGUGUUUAGUCCAGCAAGACGGCUUUGUUUAAAGCUAUAUGUUACUAUUUAAAACAUUUUUUCACAGAUACCGUUGUAUCUUCCUUGGGGCCUUGAAGAUUUUUUCUCACCCUACAUAGCUGCUUCUUAGGCUAAUAAUAUAUGGUUCUUCCCUCCACCAAAAGAACACAAUGUUUAUUGAACACUAUAUACAUUGGGUGCACCAUGAAUCAGUUUCUCGUUAAUCAUUCAAUUCGUAAUGUUUUGUUGUUACUAUCCAGACAUGUUAUUAUAGUUCUACAACUGCACUACAACGGGGAGUUAGCUGCAACUGUUGAUCACUGUAAAGUCUUUAGUUAAUGUUUAAACGGAUGCAAUUUUAUCACGGACUAUGGAGUAUUACGACAAUAUGAUUCAAUACUUAUCUCAUACCCCAUAGAUGCCUAGUGGACUUAUGUUACCUGAAAAUCACAUUAACCAAUGUUUUGAAUAUCAUGACUCGAUAGAAUGUGUUAGCAUAGACGUGUUUCUAUCACUUUAGAAGAUUGUUAAAUUUGAGCAGUCCAUUACGGUUUCAUACCAUGUGUGUUGUUGCCUACAAGACUAUAAGUAUUCCCUCAAAGUAGCUUUUAGGUUUGACUAUUACCCACUCACUUUAGGUGGUUUUGUUUGACCUUAUAAAGGGUUGGGUCCAUGUACCUUUCUAAACACACCGAGUUGAUUUCUUUAUCAUUGGUACCAAGAAUCCAUCAUAUAUUCUUACCCAAAAUACAUAAUAUUGUCAGGUAUUUGCGCAUAUAGAUGGUGUUACUGUGCCAAACUAGUUAAUGAGUGGAUAGAUUUGUGACGUAUUAGAGCAGACAUCAUUCUCAUCCUGUAGUCUUUGUUCUGCUUCUUCUUGCAAUACCUUGGUGUCCGUGAGCUUCAUCGAAACCAUUCUUUUCAGACAUUCAAAAGUAGUGGUUACUUUGUUCUACUCUGUGUUUGUGACAUAAGAUAUGCAGAUGAGUUCUCUGUAAAGCACUUAUCGAACUUUUCUUGGUACUUAACGGUUUUAAUUGUCAGGGCCGGUCUUAACGGUCCUAGACCCCCCAAAUUUUAAAGAGAAUAUAUAUAAUAUAUGUUUGGUGGCCCUAAAUUUUGUAUUAUUAAUAUCUAUACUUAAAUGUUGUUUAUAGCUUCCAAAAUCUCGCCAUGUAGAUUGUUAUCCCAAAACUUUGUAACAUUUUGGGCUUCAAGGAAAAGUAAAAGCUUUUGUAUUUGAUUUUGAAUCUUAUGGCUAGAAACAUAAACUAUGUUCAAAUCUAAAAAAUAAGAACCAAAUUCUUGAAAUCUAAUUGUUUCUUGGCAUAUAUUUAUCUGCUUUCUCUAAAAGUGUUUACUCUUGCUUCACGUUCUAGAGGAGCAAUUCUGAUAUCUAUGCUUUCCCUUGCUGGAACCUGAAGAGCUUCAUCGCAGUCGCCUAAGAUCUUUUGGCAUGUCUCAACCAGACAGUGUCUACAUUUCGGACAAGUGAUAUGUUGCGUAAGCCACUUGUCGAUACAACGAACGUGGAACCCGUGGUUGCACUUAGGAAGCAGCCGUAUCUGUUCACCAGCUACGAAAUCAGACAAACAAAUAACACAAUCCUCGCCGAGCCCUGAGAGGUUCAUCUCACGUGAGUAUUUCACUACAGGGAACAUCUUGAGAGCUUUCUUCUUGAUGCCUUUGUUUGCUGCUAGUGUGGACGGGCUUGAGAUGGGUUCAGAGAUCAUGAAGCUCGAGUGACGUCUGAACACGCACCGGAUUACGUAAUGCAACCCAAGUGAGCAGAUGAUACCGCACACAAGGACUGAGAGAAGAAGGAGAACGUUGCCGCUCAAGUUGUUCUUUUCAGGUGCAUGAGCUUGUUGCUGUUGUAUGGUGUGACUAAAUGGGAGUUGCUGAAGCAAUUUUCUCGAGAUGAAAUGUUCUUGGAAGACUUGAGAUGAAGAAGGUAAGUGAUCUGAAGACAUGUUUACUCUUUUUUUUUUUCGGUUUCUCUUGUGCUGUUUUAUUUCCUGAAUUGGUUGAAAACGGUGUUUAUAUAUAGAUUUGAUGAUACUUUAAGUUAGUGGGGACUAUGUGAAUUAUAUAUUUUAGAAAUCAAAUUUAUUUUAAGAGCUUAUCCAAUUCCACCAGUCCUUGUGUGUAUAGAUUGUGCCUAUGUCCAUAUCUUUUCCAAAUACAAAAUGCUUUUGUAGGGACAAUCAUUUAGUCUUAUAAAUAACUUAUAAUAAUAUUAUAAAUACAACAUAAAAUAGUCUUGAUAUCAAUGAUUCUUAUUUUAAUCAAAGAGGAAGGGAGGACCUUGUUGAGUUGUAUCUCUAUUAUGAUAUGUGGAGAGUUGUAAAGGAGUGUUGUUUGUUUGUUGCUUUUAUAAUUCUCUGUAUUAUUGUGUGCUUUUCUCUACAUGUGUUAUGUCGCUUCAUAAUUCUCUGAUUCUCUCUAUAUGUCAAAAUACCUUUCUAAUAAAAGAAAGUUUACGUGAGUAAAUUUGCUAACUCUGGAGAGCGCUUGCAACUAAAGUCAAUGAAAUUACUAUAUGUGUACAAAUAGAAUCACAACUGCGUAUAGUGGACGAUAAAAAGAUAGAUCUAUGUUGUUUAGACAAUUGUUCAUUUGAUCAUUUCAUUUCAUAUAAUCUUUACCCUUUACAGGUAAUAUAUGCAGAAUCGUUUUUUUGAUAGUGUAAUGAUUUUCCAAGAUCUAAAUGAUAUACUUGUCUGCAUAUAUAUAUGUGAACUUUUUCUGAAUUAUUGAGUUAUAUUAAUAUAUUUAUUUUUUAUUCUUUCUGCAAAAAAACGCCAAAGAAAAGAGGAGGAAACGAAACAGAUGUAAUCGGCUCUAUUGCCUCUUUUCGGUUCUAUACUACACAAACGUUAUCGUCUGGAUUUUGGUUUAGUCUUUUGCGUCGUUAUUAUCUUCCCUAACCUUAUUCUCUGGUGCCAUGUUUAGUUGCUUUUAAAUUUUAAUGUGAUUGUAUAAUCUCAAACACAAUUCUCCAACCCUUGAGAAAAUAUAGUAUGGUUUUAAAUCUACGACAAUCGAUAUUCGGGACGAUAAUUCGUUUACGGUAUUAAGAACGUUGCAAGUUUCAUCAAGUUUGACUGAUAAAGCAUAUACCAUUACAUAUUGCUCUUAAUCAACAUAGUAAGCUUUGAGUGAACAUUCAUAAUUUUCUAACUAAAAAGGGGCUUUAGUAUGUAUAAAUCAUGUGUGGUAUGUUGAAUAUUCAAUUCUAGAUAGAGACUUGGAGAUAGAUAUAACUAAAAUUUGUGGUUGUGGACAUGGAGCACCCCCAAAAAAUCACAUACAAGUGGGAUACUUGGUUUUUUAACCCUACUUUUUCUCAUUUUUUAUUUGCCUCUUUGAUUAAUUUAAUGAGCGGUUAUGAGAAAGUUUUGAGAUAUAGAUCUAGUUCUUGGUGCUCAUGUGAAAUAUUUUGCAUGUCGCGUAGGCUACUGUUAAGUUACAGAAUUUGAAAAUAAUCUUGUAGUAAUCCCAUAACUAAAAAAUAAUGUGUAGUGCGUUAAAAGAGAUUUUAAGAUGAAUACUGAUUGACAAAAAAAAAAGAUGAAUACUGAUUUCCACAUCGAUAUUAUCGUAGACAUAGGUAAACACUUCAACGUACAGGCAGCAUAAAACAUGUUUACAAAUAUUAUACCCUUCUUGUAGAGUUAAGAAAAUGAUAGUAAUAACCGACAAUUAUACCAACAAAUUUUUCAAUGUGUAGUGCUUGUUUCAAUUAGUUUUAACGUUAACGUAGAAUCAAAUCUUUGAGCGAAGCUGAGGCAGCAAUCUAUAUUAUAAUGAUUGAGUUUUUGCUCUCUAUUCAGCGCGGCACGUCAGCAUUUUGUGGAUCCCACUUUUAAAAAGUAUGAAAAAGUGUCAAGUCUGUAGCUCGAAUCCGGGUUAUUGAAAUAUAAACACCAACAUUUAUACCACUAAACUAAAUGAUACUUUGUACAUUGAUGGCCGAAACUAAUAUAUAUUUAUGAAGGUCGGAAACUCUUGCUUCUUCGGCUUUUUCUGUGGACCGGGCCUAGGGAAGGAAAAUAAUAUAGAUUAUUUUUAAUUAAUUUUCUGAUUCUUUGUUGAAUAAUAUUAUUUGCAGAUUCUGUGAUUCAUAAGUUUAUUCCCGCCGGACGUACAAAUCAUUACAUGCCAUCUUUGAAAGCCGGUUUCAUUGUGUAAGUCGAUCAUUUUGAGGUUGAUAGGUGCUCAAACAUGUACAAGAUAAUUGAUCACUCAUUCCUCAUUCGUUUCAUCUCACCAACUAUUAUUGAUGAAGUCAUCACAGAUGCUCCUAAGAUCAAUCUCCAGUCGUAAUUAGUUUGUUUGACAAUUUCCAAGUGAUUGCGAACACAAAACUAGAACUCUCAGGUAUAUUAUCAUAUUGCAUCUGGGUUUAUAUUAUGUUUCGAUAUCAUAACUGAUAUUUAAACUCGCAGAUGUGGUUGGGCAAAUCUGUUCUGUCCAGGGCUCUGACCUUACCAAAAAAACAACCCGAGUCGUUAUCCGUCUCCUCAUUGAUUCGUAAGAAACAAUCAACACACAAUUCCCUUUAUAUUAUUAUCUAUAUUCUGCUAACAUCAAUAAUCAAAAAUAUUUCCUACCCAAAUAUGUGGUCAUCUAUUUAUCUCCCUUACUUAUCAAACUAAUUUUACACAACUUUUAUUUUACAGCUUAAAAGAAACCACAACAUGCCAAACAAUCAAAACAUCAAAAAUUAGAAUUCCAAAAAAGACAAAUCAUUAAUGAUCACCUCUCUUUUUUUGUCUAAUCUUAGAAAUAAACUUCAAAACAAAUAUACCAAAUCAAUCACCUCAACUAAAACUCAACGACACAUACAUCGAGUCAGCUAAACAAAUACAAACUACACGGCCAACUAUUUAACAAUUUACAAACUUACUUUCGCAAAGAAGAAGACGAAGACGACAACCAAAAUCAGUGAAAUUACCUAAACAAAAAAGCAGAGUAGAUUACGAACUCUGAUAAAUACAACUAACAAUGAUUUUUGUUUACAUAUUACCCAUCAAAUAAAAGAGAAACAAACACAACCAAACCAGAAGAUACAAGAUAAAAUCCCGACAGACACAAAGGCGGCAACAACAUCUCCACCUGCUCACUCCUCUUGUCUUAUAAAACAGCUUACAUGCCCAAUGUCAACAGGUCAAUGUUAUUGUCUUCUUAUGAGAAAUACAUAAAUUCGUUUAAAACCCAUUAAUGCCCAAAUACUAAGAACUGUCACUCAUUUUAUAGUUAUUUCUACAAGUCUUCAUGUAUUUGUUUUAAAGGUCCGGUAAGAGCAACAAGUUUAAAAAUAAAAUAAAAACAUAUAACAAACAUAAUAAGGAUAAUAAAAAUUAUUACUUAAUACCAGUGCCGGUCUUGAGUUUAGAACGACUAGAAGCAAGAAAAAAAAAUGGGCUGCUAUGUAUGUUCAUUAAAAAUAAAAAUUGGCUAUAGGGGAGGUUCGAACCCAGGAAUUGUAAGUGUGCACUGAUACCUAACCACUGCACCAAAGGCGCUAAACAAAUUUGAAGGCCGAAGUUUGUUUAUGAAGUUGACGGCCGGAAGCUAAAGCUUCUGCCGCUUCCCCUCAAGGCCGGUACUGCUUAAUACACAAAACAUACACAACUAAACUGGAGAAAAAAUAUCCAGAAAUAAAAGGUACUCUCAAGAACUUUAAUAUAAUUUAUGUACUCUUAAUUGUACAAGAAACAAAUUAAAAAGACAAACAAACAAUAAGUCUCAGUGACACCGCAAACAACACCAGCAAGUAUAUCAAUCACAUUACUAACACAGUUUAGUACUUCAUAAGUAGAGAACAAUGCAUACACAAUUCAUCAUCACAACUUCAACCCUAUAACAAUAAAAAGACUUGAAAAACAACUCAAAACGCAAAAUUCACAACUACAAUAACCCUAGCAAAUAUUGAGAUGAAACAAAAACUUUGUCCACGACUCCGCGCUUGCGCGGAGGCAAUGCCCCUAGUGUUUUGAAUGGUUCAUGUUUUAGCCAAAAGAAAAAAUGGUUCAUGUCUCUUAUAAUUCAUUUUAUUAGGUUUUUUUUUUUUUGGACAAAAAAAAUCAUUUUAUUAGGUUUCAACUCAUUUCUAAUGAGUACUAUCCAAAAUAAGCAUGGUUUAAUGUGUCAGUGAACCAGUUAAGGAUCAAAUUCAAAUUGCAGAUGGGCUUGUAGUAGCCCAAUUAAAAGAAGUAUGUUCUAAAGAGAAGUUUAUCUGACUGGUUUGGUAAAACCAUGUCAUUUCCACUUACUAUUAAUAUCUUGUGAUAUUCAUAGCUCUAACCUUAUCAUUUCUCUUCUUUUAGGUUCAUCUUGCAUACAUUUAAGUGUAUUUAGUGUCUUUGCAUCUGUAUUUGCUUCGUAGAACCUUUGGAGCAGGUAUUUAAGUGAAAUGAGCAAUUCAAGAGAUGAAAUGAGUAAAAUGGAGAAAUUGAGGUCGUAGGAGUGUACUAGCGGCCAGGCUAGCGGUCUCUGCCUAAACCGCUAGAAACACAGUUUAACAGCGGCCACAUCUAGCGGCCUCUACCUUCGCCGCUAGAAAAAGACGGAGAAAACCCGAGGAAAACUCCAAUCAAUUCCAUUUAAUCCGGGGCACAUUGGUUUAACCAUGCACCGCGAGAGUCAAAAGAAUAUAGCGGCCACCUCUAGUGGUCUCUACCUAGGCCGCUAGAUAUGUCCAGAAGACGAAGAAGAUGCUCCCAACGGCGUCCAUAUUGACCAGAAUGAAGGCCGCUACACUCCCCUUGCUAGUGGUUCCUCCAAGCAGUUUGAAACAUAGCCGCUGCCGUCACUUAACCUAAAGAGAUUUUGUGUGUUUUAACCUCCUAGUAUAAAUAGUCUUUGUUAAGAAAGAAAAUCAUUUUAUCCAUUGUAAAACAAUAAAACCUUUUGGAUCUUUGGAGUUUAUGCAAUUAGUACUUUCAUUCAGUUGAUAACUUGUGAUUAUCUCUUCUGCUAUCUUGAUUAUGCUUUUAUCUAUCAUGAGUUUAAGUGUAACUAAGAUGAUUAUUGAAUAAUCACCUUUUGAAUCCAUCGGUUAGGUAGAUCUAGGGUGAUUAAUGAAGAGUUAAAGUGUUUGAUGAUUAGAUCUCUUUGUUUCUAUGCAUAUUGAGUGUUUUUAAUGCUUGAUUUGACUUGAUCACUCUCAUCUUGAUAAAAAAGUUAUUUUAUACCUGAAAGGUGUUUGUUAAAAUGCUUGACUGAACUUGAUAUUGCUUUUGCUUGAAUAACCAAAUGGAUUUGAUUUUAGGGUUGCUAGAUGGUUAAUAGACUUGAAUAUAAUGCAUGCUUUAAUGAUUUAAACCAAUAAGAAUUGAUGUUUAAUUCAUGAUUGCAUAGAGGUCUUUGCCUUGGGAAAAGAUUGAUCUUUAUUUGUGUUCUAAACCUAUAGAAACUUAAUUGCUUGAAGUUAACACCUUGAAUUGAAUUUAAUUACCUUAGAUCAAUUGCCUUAAGCCCAUGGGUUCUUACUUGAUCAAUUGAUUGAAAGUUUGUUACUUUAUUGCUUAGUAUCUUGUUACUUGAAUCAUAUCAUUUCACAACCUUGAUUGCACUUAGAUUAAGCAUUAAUUUGCAUUCUUUUUGGAUCAAAAUUGCUUAAGAUUGGAUUGACUCUUAGUUACUACUUUGACUUACGAUUAGAAAUAAUCCUUAUCAACUAAGCAACAAUAACAACAGAAAAAACUCUAAAUAUGAGAGGAUCAUCCCUUGGCAGAGAGUUUUCGCAAGUAAAGCAUUCAUGCUGACGUCCAUGUUGCCCACACGCACUGGAGAAGUAUGUAAACUUCAUUGAUUCUUUGUUACAAAGGUUCUUGGAUGUUUAACGUGUUGGUCCCUUUUUUUGACUGAAACACACUAAAAAGUGCUCUAUGGAUGUGUAUUGGUCUUUGGCCUCGUUCGUUUGUACAUCUGGAAAAUGCAUACAGAUGGUCCAUCUAACAUAACUGUCUUAUGCAAAUGAUCUAAAGUUGUUCAUUUAUGUAUUUCGUCUAUGUAUCCAGGUGAAUCAUCUGAAUGCAACUAUAUUCAUUUGCUUUUUUUUUAAUAUAAUUUGCAUCUGCAUCCAGAUGUAUCUGUUACUAAAAUGAGCAAAAUAGACUUAUUUUUACAUUUUUGACGAAAAUUGCGUUUUAAAAAUUUUGACGAAAAAUGUAUUUUUCGGUUUUGAUCAUCUGGGUGAGUAAACGAACAUCACCUUUCCCUGUUUUACUAACAUCUUGACUGCUUGUUUUACUGUACAUAAUCUGCUUGGGUCACUAACGGUGUUUGCUCUCAGAUGGCUAGCUCUUCCUGAUGCGGUUGAGGAUAAGUUCUCUCAGCUUCAGGCCAUCGGAAUGUUAAAAAGUAUCCAGUGAUGAAGUGAGUAAUAUUUACACCAUGGCCUUUUUGAGCAAUUUUGAAAGUAAUUAUUUUUAGUGAUCAGAAGGCAUAAACCAUUAAAUUAAAUUUUGUUUUUUAUUAAUCAAAGGUGUCCAGCAGGCCAUGACAAAAUAAAUAAUUAUGAAAUUAGUUAAUCAAAAACAGAUUAAUUAUGAAAUUAGUUUUUUUUAUGGGUUUUUUGCAAAAUUGACUCAAAACUCAAAGUCAAACCUAAAACUCACCCAUGUUUUUUUUGGAUUUUUCUUUUGUACUAUUCACCCCACAAGUUCAUAUAAUUCACGAAAAUGCCAUCAAUUUUUUUUUCUUCCAAAAAUGACAUUUUCACUCUUUCACCCUCAUCAUCUUCAAGUAAUUACAAUAUUGUCAUUGUCAUCAAUACCCCAACCACCAUGAACAACCAAUUUGAAGCUUUUAAUGCACCUAAAAUCGAUUUACACUCUCUCUUUCUCACUUGUUAUGAACUAAAAACAACAUCUCUUUCACUUUGCCUCCAUAUUCAUCCAAAAAACUCAAGCUUUUGAUUCAAAUUUUUUUAUGGUUGAUAGAGCCAUUCAAGCAUACUAUUCUUGGUGGGUUACUUUCGUUUGAGAUUCUGAGUGGUUGGAGAAGACUCUGUGUGCUAAGGAAGUCAUCUCAUUAGUUUAAGGUAUGAAAUUGAUUUUUUUUUCAGAUAUGUUCGUGUAGAAGACUUACCGUAAGUAGUCUGGCUGUAAAAGACUUACGGGUAAGUCUUCUGGUCAAACGGACGACUUACUUUUAAGUCGUCAUCUUUGUUUGUUAAAAAAAAUCUAGAGAAUACCCUAGACGACUUACUGAUAAGUCGUCUACGAUAAACGGGUUAGUUUUGCAUUUGACCAAAUUGUGUCAGAGAUUUGACUUUUCCUGGACGACUUACUGGUAAGUCGUCUUUGGGAAAACAAAAUUUUUAAUAUUUUAUUAAAGCUGGACGACUUAUAUGUAAGUCGUCUCAGGUUACUUUUGCAAUUGGAAAAUAAAACUUAAAUAUUUAACUUUUCCCAGACGACUUACGCGGAAGUCGUCAAGUAAGACGACUUACUUGAAAGUCGUCCAGGAUAAGCAAAGUCGUCCAGAUUUAUUUCCUAGAUUAUGGUCAAACCUUGCUUAUCUCGGACGACUUUCUCGUACGUCGUCUACCUGGACGAUUUUCAAGUAAGUCGUCUGGGUAAAGUUAAAUAUUUAAGUUUCUUUUUCGAAUUGCAAACUAACCUGAGAAGACUUACAAAUAAGUCGUCUAGCUUUAAUAAAAUAUUGAAAUUUUUGUUUUUCCGGAGACGACUUACUGGUAAGUCGUCCAGAAAAAGUCAAAUAUCUAACACAAUUCGGCCAAAUGCAAAACUAACCUUUUUAUCCUAGACGACUUACCAGUAAGUCGUCUAGGGUUUUUUUUUUAACAAACAUAGCUGGACGACUUACUUGUAAGUCGUCCUAUUUAAAAUUCAAUUGCAAAAAUGACCUGUUUGGACGACUUACUGGUAAGUCUUCCAGACGACUUACUGGUAUGUCGUCUGCGUCAAUGUUUAGUAAACUUUCAUUUUCUCUAUGUUUACUAAUGUGUUUUAUUUUGAAUUUUUGUAGAUGAUGCGUCAGUUACAUGCAGUGUAUGGAGAAUGGUUGUUGAAUGAUUGCCGUUGGGAUUUUGUGGUUGAUAAUGUCAAAGGAGCGAGAAUCAUUUUUUUGGGGGAAGGUUCGACACAUGCUGAACUUCUUGCAAUUGCUCAAGAAGAUUAUAACCUGGACAUGAGCACAUAAUCUUUGGAUAUAACCUACUCAUUACCAGCAGAAAUGAUGCAGGCUUCAGACACCCCUCCUAUUCAUGUUACAAGUGAUAGACAAGUUCGAAACUUGCUCGAGAUAACCAAAACGCAUGGAGUACGGCUUUGUGUAUUAAGCCGUAGCAAGGUGGAAACGGUUUCAGAGUUCCAGGAAGAAGAUGAUGAAGCUGAUGAAGCUGAUGAAUGUUUUGAAGAUGAUGAUGAUGAUUUGGUUGAAGAUGAAAAUCAUAAUGGGGAGGAGGAUGCUGGUAUCUCUAUUGUUGCUGAAGCGGACGAGAAUGGUGAGAAUUACAGUGUUUAUGGAAAGGUUGAAGAUGAGGAUGAGGAAGAUGAUGAUAUGUGUUUUGAAGAUAUCAAAAAGAUUGAAGGAGGAAGAUCGAAUGGUAACAGUAUCUAUGUCAACCAGAGUUUUGUUAGCAAGGAUGCACUGCUUUCAGAGCUGCGGUUGACAGCAGUGAGGUUUAGGUUCUCCUUCAGAAUAUACAAGUCAACGAAAACUCUCCUUGUGACAACAUGUCCGGUUAGUGGUUGUCAAUGGAAGGUCAGAGCGAGUGUGAAACAUGGGACAAACACGUUUUGGGUAACAAAGUAUGUGGAAAAACAUACAUGCUCAGUGGGAGACCGACUCGCUCAGCGGAGACACUGUACUCCGAAGUAUGUUGGUAGGCUUUUCAUUGAUCGUGUUGGAAUCAUUGAUGGGUUGAAUCCGCAGCAUAUCACUGAUGCAAUGAAGAACAUGUUUGGCAUGACGCUUGAUUACACCACUUCAUAUAGAGCACUUUUAUAUGCACAAACAUUGGUGAGAGGAUCAGCAGAAGAUGGGUAUUCGCGUCUGCCAUCAUAUCUCGAGCAAAUCUCCUUAGCAAAUCCCGAUUCUAUCACGGCUAUAGAACUUGAUUCUAUCAAUAGAUUUAAGUAUUUAUUUCUCACAUUUGAAGCUUCUAUCAAAGGUUUUAAGUAUCAGAGAAGAGUCAUUGUGGUGGAUGGGACUCACCUAAGUGGGAAUUAUGGAGGUGUUAUGUUAGUUGGAGCCGCACAAGAUGAGAAUUUUUAGAUAUUUCCAUUGGCUUUUGGGAUCGUAGAUGUUGAAGAUGAACCUUCUUGGGAAUGGUUUUUCACAAAAUUGGCUAGUUGUGUAUCUGAUGAGCAGCCUCUGGUGAUAAUCUCCGACCGGCACGCGGCCAUUAAAAGUGCGUGUGAUAAGGUGUUUCCUUGGACAACCCGAGGAAUAUGUUAUUAUCACCUUCAAGAGAACAUUGUCAAAAAGUAUAAAUGGAAACAUCUCUUGUACUUGGUGAAAGGUGCUGCUUAUGCUCAUACGGUUUCAGAUUUUGACCGGUACAUGGCUGAGAUACGGAGUGCAAACCCGGACCUUGCAACGUAUUUGGAGAAUGCCGACGUCAGCCUAUGGUCAAGGGUUUAUUGUCAGGGGGACAUGUACAACAUAAAGACAAGCAACAUCGCUGAAUCUAUUAAUUCCGCUCUGAAGCGAGCUAGAGGAUUUCCGGUUCAGUUCCUGUUGGAGUUCAUAAGGGAGAAGCUAGGAAAGUGGUUUUGGAAAAGGAGAGAAGAUGCUUUGAGUCUCCCAACUCAACAUAGUCGAGGUGUUGAAUACUUUCUUGCUGUUCGAUCGGAGAUAGCGGAUACGAUGACGGUACAACCAAUUGAUGGAUGGCGAUUCUUUGUGAAAGGUGGCAAAAUGGACUGUGUGGUUGAUUUGGAACAUGGAAAGUGUGAUUGUGGUGUCUAUGCAGUGGAGAAAAUACCUUGCUCUCAUGCUAUAGCUGCUGGAACAUCUGCUGGUUUGCAUAUCUCCACACUUGUAUGUCCAGUGUACUCAAAUGAUUUUCUGUUUGCAGAAUACUCAGAGAAUAUAUAUCCUUGUGUUGGACAACAAGUUGAGGAACACACAUGCUUUUCUCCGGAUGUAAAGCGUGGUCCGGAAAGACAGAAGAAAUCAAAAUGGCAAUCUUGGUUGGAGCUAUCCAGGAUGAGAAGACGCAAACCCCAGAAGCAACACAGAGUUUAUAGAUGCUCAAAAUGCAAGGAAACUGGCCAUACGAAACCACAAUGUAAGUCGUCCAGUGUUUAGUCUUUCAGAAGACCUUCAAUUAAGUCGUCCAGUUAGUCGUCCAGGGUUUUUUCUUCCAGAAGACCUUCAAGUAAGUCGUCCAGUGUUUAGUCUUCCAAGUCGUCCANNNNNNNNNNNNNNNNNNNNNNNNNNNNNNNNNNNNNNNNNNNNNNNNNNNNNNNNNNNNNNNNNNNNNNNNNNNNNNNNNNNNNNNNNNNNNNNNNNNNNNNNNNNNNNNNNNNNNNNNNNNNNNNNNNNNNNNNNNNNNNNNNNNNNNNNNNNNNNNNNNNNNNNNNNNNNNNNNNNNNNNNNNNNNNNNNNNNNNNNNNNNNNNNNNNNNNNNNNNNNNNNNNNNNNNNNNNNNNNNNAGUUAGUCGUCCAGUGUUCAGUCUAUGUACUAAAAAUUUGUGUUAUGAACUUAUCUGUGUCAACUUCUUUGUCAAAUUGCACUACCAAAAAAAUUUGAGAUGGUCUUGCCCUUUAUAUUAUCUGAAAUAUAGUUACAAAAGGUCACUGCUCAGAAGACUUUCCAGACUACUUAUAGUUAAGUCGUCCAAAAUAGGGAUCAAGUUCAAAUACAAAAUAGGGAUCAAGUUCAAAUACAAAAUAGGGAUCAAGUUCAAAUACAAAAUAGGGAUCAAGUUCAAAUACAAAAUAGGGAUCAAGUUCAAAUACAAAAUAGGGAUCAAGUUCAAAUACACACAUCACCCUAAUCUAUCGUACAAAAUAAUCUAAUGAAGCCUAUUUAUCACCCCUCAUAGGCACCCAGGUUGGCAUCAUUGUCCUUGUUUUCGAACUCAUGCGCAUCAGGAAGCUCUUAAAAUAUAUCCACCGCCAUCUUAUCCCUCAUAGUCUUCCCGUCGACCUUAUCAAAUUCCUUUUUACUAAACUAUAUCCCAAGAGCAUGGCAUUCAACGUACUUUAGAGUGUACACGCCACAAUCACCAGCUCGGGCCGGAGGUAUAUUGGUCGGUCUCUCAUAUGUGAAUGGCUCCAGGCUGUAUUGGGCACGUUGUUCGUCUGAGGAAGCGCACUCAACAAGCAGAUAAGGGACCAUGUAGAGAAAAGGCUCCAUUACCACAUCGAGUUCUUUUGGGGAGAUACUGGAACAAAUGUUGUCAAAGACGACUAUGUGCCUCUUAGGGAUCGAUAUCCAAAUAGCAAUCCAAUGACUGUCGGCGAAGUUUACUGGCGCAUAGAUAUCAUCAAUAUUCGUCCCCCAAACCUUGUUCGAUUGGCAAAAUGAUGGUAUAGUGCCUGCAUAAUAAUUCCACGCCCCACCAGGGAGUCUUCUUCCUAAACCGUUUUGAUCGGGCUCCGAGUCCUUAAAAUCCUUGAAGUUGAAUCUCCAUUGCUGAGCAAAGAGAUGAUCAAGGAAGCACAUUCUCUCGCUCCUGAAAUAUUGUGGGUUAGCGUCGUACCUCUUCCUCGGCACAUUAAUCCAAGCAUCAAUAUGCUGCAUAUAAAAUAGGGUACAAGUCAGAAGAUAUCAGACGACUUACUGGUAAGUCGUCUACGUAGACGACUUACCAGACGACUCGUCUGGUAAGUCUUCUCCGUAGACGACUUAUUGGUUAGUCGUCUACAAAGAAGACUUAUCAGUAAGUCAUCUAAGUAAUAGCAGAAGACUUACACGGUCCUCCAGCCACUCUAAGGAGGUUCGGAGGAUUUGAUACCACCAAGUUGUACUUUUACGUGGCUUUUUAUCGAGAGGUGUUCUAUAAUGACUGCAAACACAAAAUGUUGAAAAGCAAUCACUUUUUGUAGACUAAAGCAAGCUAUUAUGGGAAAAGCAAGCUAUUAUGGGAAAAGCAAGCUAUUAUGGGAAAAGCAAGCUAUUAUGGGAAAAGCAAGCUAUUAUGGGAAAAGCAAACACUUACGGACAAGUUUUCAACCAAUCAGCGAGCUCCUUCAACUUCUUCUUGUCAAUUGGUGCAAAAGGAUUAUAGCCUGGAUAAAGCUUUUUGUUUGGAAUGAUCACUUUGGCCGUGCUGUUUGCCGUAUNNNNNNNNNNNNNNNNNNNNNNNNNNNNNNNNNNNNNNNNNNNNNNNNNNNNNNNNNNNNNNNNNNNNNNNNNNNNNNNNNNNNNNNNNNNNNNNNNNNNNNNNNNNNNNNNNNNNNNNNNNNNNNNNNNNNNNNNNNNNNNNNNNNNNNNNNNNNNNNNNNNNNNNNNNNNNNNNNNNNNNNNNNNNNNNNNNNNNNNNNNNNNNNNNNNNNNNNNNNNNNNNNNNNNNNNNNNNNNNNNNNNNNNNNNNNNNNNNNNNNNNNNNNNNNNNNNNNNNNNNNNNNNNNNNNNNNNNNNNNNNNNNNNNNNNNNNNNNNNNNNNNNNNNNNNNNNNNNNNNNNNNNNNNNNNNNNNNNNNNNNNNNNNNNNNNNNNNNNNNNNNNNNNNNNNNNNNNNNNNNNNNNNNNNNNNNNNNNNNNNNNNNNNNNNNNNNNNNNNNNNNNNNNNNNNNNNNNNNNNNNNNNNNNNNNNNNNNNNNNNNNNNNNNNNNNNNNNNNNNNNNNNNNNNNNNNNNNNNNNNNNNNNNNNNNNNNNNNNNNNNNNNNNNNNNNNNNNNNNNNNNNNNNNNNNNNNNNNNNNNNNNNNNNNNNNNNNNNNNNNNNNNNNNNNNNNNNNNNNNNNNNNNNNNNNNNNNNNNNNNNNNNNNNNNNNNNNNNNNNNNNNNNNNNNNNNNNNNNNNNNNNNNNNNNNNNNNNNNNNNNNNNNNNNNNNNNNNNNNNNNNNNNNNNNNNNNNNNNNNNNNNNNNNNNNNNNNNNNNNNNNNNNNNNNNNNNNNNNNNNNNNNNNNNNNNNNNNNNNNNNNNNNNNNNNNNNNNNNNNNNNNNNNNNNNNNNNNNNNNNNNNNNNNNNNNNNNNNNNNNNNNNNNNNNNNNNNNNNNNNNNNNNNNNNNNNNNNNNNNNNNNNNNNNNNNNNNNNNNNNNNNNNNNNNNNNAACAUCAAACUCCCAUUUUGGAAACAUUUCACCAAUGUCCUUCUGAACAAAGUUGAUCACCCUAGUCUGCAGUAAAUAGAAGAUAUGAACUUAGAUAUUUGACGGAUUAAUAAAGAUGGAAAGAAAAGACUUCGCAGACGACUUAUAAUUAAGUCGUCUGGAAAGUCUUCCAGUUAGACGACUUAGUAGACGACUUCUAAUUAAGUUGUCUAGAAAGUCUUCCAGUUGGAAGACUUAGUAGAAGACUUAUAAUUAAGUAGUCUGGAUAGUCUUUCCAGAUGACUUAAUUAUAAGUCUUCUCCUAAGACAUCCAGCUGGAAGACUUUCCAGACGACUUAAUUACAAGUCUUCUACUAAGUCGUCCAGUUGGAAGACUUAUCAGACGACUUAAUUAUAAGUCUUCUGCGAAGUCGUCCAGAUUGAAGUAAAUUCCUGACUCAGGAUAGCCUCUUUAAACUGUUUGCGUCCUUUGCGACCCUUGUAAGCCAGUAUCGGUGGAGACGGAUUGUUUGGGAGAGGAUUACCAUAAGUAGCACCCAAUUCAGGAAGAGCUGUAUACACCCAUACCUGGAGAGCUUGCGCAAACCCAUUAAUAGUGUAACAACCCGAAAUAUCUAUGCCCUUCAGUACCGCUGACUUCCCAGUAAUCCAUGGUCUACUUCCACGGUGUCUUCACAAACAUGAGUUUAAUUAUGUUCUCCGCGGGCGUGUCCUGAACAUCAAACUCCCAUUUUGGAAACAUUUGACCAAUGUCCUUCUGAACAAAGUUGAUCACCCUAGUCUGCAGUAAAUAGAAGAUAUGAACUUAGAUAUUUGACGGAUUAAUAAAGAUGGAAAGAAAAGACUUCGCAGACGACUUAUAAUUAAGUCGUCUGGAAAGUCUUCCAGUUAGACGACUUAGUAGACGACUUCUAAUUAAGUUGUCUAGAAAGUCUUCCAGUUGGAAGACUUAGUAGAAGACUUAUAAUUAAGUAGUCUGGAUAGUCUUUCCAGAUGACUUAAUUAUAAGUCUUCUCCUAAGACAUCCAGCUGGAAGACUUUCCAGACGACUUAAUUACAAGUCUUCUACUAAGUCGUCCAGUUGGAAGACUUAUCAGACGACUUAAUUAUAAGUCUUCUGCGAAGUCGUCCAGAUUGAAGUAAAUUCCUGACUCAGGAUAGCCUCUUUAAACUGUUUGCGUCCUUUGCGACCCUUGUAAGCCAGUAUCGGUGGAGACGGAUUGUUUGGGAGAGGAUUACCAUAAGUAGCACCCAAUUCAGGAAGAGCUGUAUACACCCAUACCUGGAGAGCUUGCGCAAACCCAUUAAUAGUGUAACAACCCGAAAUAUCUAUGCCCUUCACAGAGUCCAUCAGCACCUUAAACGCGACUCUCCCCCAUGGAUAAUUCUCAAACCGUUCUAGCUCUAUCACUAGCCUUGCCAGACUAACCUGUGUAGGGGUUGAAUACUUUCUCCCUUCAAUAUAUCCAGUGAAGAUGGCAAGGUACGCGAGCCGCUUGCGAUCAUCCCGAGACCACCCUUCGCAUCUCUCAAAUGUUGCUAUUAUCUCCUGAGUAGAUGGCCCAACUUCGACAUGAACUCCCAACAUCUCCCAAAAAGAAGUCAACUCCUUUGUAACAACACAGUGAGGUCUCUCAAGGUCCUCGAUGUACUCGCAGUUUAGACCAGUGAGGUUUUCAAACUCUAACAGUGAAAACCUCACAGGUUGUGGACCAACGAGACUCCACAGCUCAUACUUCUUCUUUAUGUCCAGCUGGAAACCGAGCAUAUAGUGAACCAGCCUUGAAGCCCAAUCAAAUCCCAGCUCUUGGAACUUGAUGAAAACUCCCAACUUCGACUCCUUCAGCUCUUCAUAUUCGUCAUCAUGAAGAGCUUUCUUUAAAGCAGUAUGCAUGGAUGCCAUAACCAUACAGGGAUUGUAAUACGCUUUAGAUGUUGCCUCAUUAAAACCUUACCAGGAAAACCCAGUGGGACAAAACCACGGUGAAGGAAAAAGAGUACAACACGUAUUACUCCCUCUGUUCUGAACAACUCGCGGCUGGCCUCAUGAACAGCCAAGAUCUCCGAAUGGUUUGAAGAUGUGUCCGCGAUCGUCUGCUUCAUGGAACGCCAUGAUAUGGCCGUUCCACCAUGUGUAAAAACAUAGCAUGUCUGUGAUCGAGCAUUGUGUGAAUCCGAAAGAUAACCUGCAUCAGCAAAAUCAACUAAACCUUCUUUGUUUUAGUUAGUAUAAAAUAAACCCAAGUCUUUCGUUCCUUGCAGGUAACGAAGAACAUGUUUAAUCCCGUUCCAGUGCCUUUGGGUUGGACAAGAGCUUAAUCUAGACAAUAGAGUCAUGGCAAAACAUAUAUCUGGUCGUGUGACUAACCAGAUACAUCAAAGCUCCUAUGGCACUGAGAUAUGGCACUUCGGGACCAAGGACAUCUUUAUCGUCCAUCUUAGAAUGGAACGGAUCAGUGUCCAGGCCGAGGGACCUCACGACCAUGGGGCUAGAUAAUGGGGGAGACUCGGCCAUGUUGAAUCUCUUGAGUACUUUUCUGUAUAUUCCAUUUGAUACACAAGGAUUCCAUCUCUUAUGUACUCAAGCUGUAAUCCCAAACAAAACUUUGUUUUUUCAAGAUCUUUCAUCUCGAAUUCUUUCUUAAGAUAUUCAACUGUUUGGAAGAUUUCUCCAGAGGUUCCUAUGAUAUUUAAAUCAUCAACAUACACUGGUAUAAUCACAAAGCCCUGGCCGAAUUUCUUUAUAAAAAUACAAGGGCUGAUUGGAUCAUUCUUGUAUCCUUCUCUAGGUACUCACUUAACCUAUUGUACCACAUUCGGCCUGAUUGUUUCAAUCCAUAAAGUGACUUAUUCAACUUUAUACAGUGUUGUUCUCGAGUACUCGAUUUGUUUUUCAACUCUAUACCCUCUGGUACGAUACGAAAUGCUAUGCACUGCGGGGGGAUCUUCCCCUAAUGUAUAUAUCCUACGGGGGAGUUCUGACAUCUCCAUUUUUUUUGCCUGCAAAACAGUCAAAGACAACCAUCUCAAACAGCUGAAAGACUUAUAAUUAAGUCGUCUGGAAAGUCUUUCAAAUUUAAAGUUUUGCAAACUCUAAGCUGCUACAAAUUUCCCCUUCAAAGAUGUUUUUGCAAAAUAUAUAAAUUUCACAUUCGUGUUAUGAAAUAAGAGAAUAUAAUAUGUAUGUUUCUGUAUUAUUCAUAAACAUAAGGAGCCCUUUAUAUAUAGGGAAUUACACCGUCAUAGAAUAAUGGAAAGACUAAAGAAAUGAAAUACAAAUAUGGAAAAAGUACAAAUCAUAAUCUAAUAAGGAAAAAGGCAAGAUGCCGAUUCUCUCUCUCUCUCUCUCCUCACGGUCGACUCUCUCUCUCUAGCAUUGGGCCGGUUAUGAACCGGGCCGGUUAUGGACAUCCACAAUAUGAUUUAUAACACUCCCUCUGGAUGCCAUAACCAUACAGGGAUUGUAAUACGCUUUAGAUGUUGCCUCAUUAAAACCUUACCAGGAAAACCCAGUGGGACAAAACCACGGUGAAGGAAAAAGAGUACAACACGUAUUACUCCCUCUGUUCUGAACCAGUGGGACAAAACCAUGGUGAAGGAAAAAGAGUACAACACGUAUUACUCCCUCUGUUCUGAACAACUCGCGGCUGGCCUCAUGAACAGCCAAGAUCUCCGAAUGGUUUGAAGAUGUGUCCGCGAUCGUCUGCUUCAUGGAACGCCAUGAUAUGGCCGUUCCACCAUGUGUAAAAACAUAGCAUGUCUGUGAUCGAGCAUUGUGUGAAUCCGAAAGAUAACCUGCAUCAGCAAAAUCAACUAAACCUUCUUUGUUUUAGUUAGUAUAAAAUAAACCCAAGUCUUUCGUUCCUUGCAGGUAACGAAGAACAUGUUUAAUCCCGUUCCAGUGCCUUUGGGUUGGACAAGAGCUUAAUCUAGACAAUAGAGUCAUGGCAAAACAUAUAUCUGGUCGUGUGACUAACCAGAUACAUCAAAGCUCCUAUGGCACUGAGAUAUGGCACUUCGGGACCAAGGACAUCUUUAUCGUCCAUCUUAGAAUGGAACGGAUCAGUGUCCAGGCCGAGGGACCUCACGACCAUGGGGCUAGAUAAUGGGGGAGACUCGGCCAUGUUGAAUCUCUUGAGUACUUUUCUGUAUAUUCCAUUUGAUACACAAGGAUUCCAUCUCUUAUGUACUCAAGCUGUAAUCCCAAACAAAACUUUGUUUUUCCAAGAUCUUUCAUCUCGAAUUCUUUCUUAAGAUAUUCAACUGUUUGGAAGAUUUCUCCAGAGGUUCCUAGGAUAUUUAAAUCAUCAACAUACACUGGUAUAAUCACAAAGCCCUGGCCGAAUUUCUUUAUAAAAAUACAAGGGCUGAUUGGAUCAUUCUUGUAUCCUUCUCUAGGUACUCACUUAACCUAUUGUACCACAUUCGGCCUGAUUGUUUCAAUCCAUAAAGUGACUUAUUCAACUUUAUACAGUGUUGUUCUCGAGUACUCGAUUUGUUUUUCAACUCUAUACCCUCUGGUAUUUUCAUAUAUAUUUCAUUAUCCAGUGGACCAUAUAAGUAUGCAGUUACAACAUCCAUUAACCGCAAGUCUAAGUUUUCUCUAUAGCCAGACUUAUCAGGAAUCUAAAAGUAGUAGCAUCCACCACAGGGGAGUAUGUCUCCUCAUAAUAUAUUUCUGGUCUUUGUGAGAAUCCUUGUGCAACAAGUCGUGCUUUAUAUCUAACGACAAUACCAUGUUUGUUUAUCUUCCACACAAAGAUCCACUUGUAUCCAACUGGUAUAACAUCAUAAGGUGUCCUUAUUAUUUGGACCGAAUACAUCUCUCUUCUUUAAAGAGUUCAACUCCACGUUUAUAGCUUCUUUCCAUUUGAUCCAAUAUGAUCGUUGAGUGCACUCUAAGAUAGACAUGGGUUCAUGAUCCUCAUUCAAAUCCAUAAGUUCAAGUGCUACCUUGUAUGCAAAUAUAUCACCAAUGUCGACAUUCUUUCUGUUCCAUUAUAUCCCAGACAAGACAUAAUUUAUUGAGAUCUCAUUAUUAUUAGGUCCUUCAGUACCUUGAAUCUUGGCGUCCCAAGAAUCAGGAUUAGAUACAUCAGGGCCGGCCGCAUCUAAGCAUUCAUGAUCGGCCGCGAUCGCUAUUAGGGUUUUGGGAUCGGCUGCGACUAAGUCUCGGGAUUUAGGGACAGACCCGGUCGUGUCUAGGGUUUCAACAACCCCGGUUUCAUUAUCUUUGGAACCUAUCUUUGGAACCUAUUUGUAUACCGCGUUUUAAACGUUGUCUAGACUCUGUAGCAAGUUGAUUGUGUCCUUCUUGAACAUCAAUUCUUAUUGGUGCAUUAGCAGCUGGUAUAUAUGCCAAUGUCGACAUUCUUUCUGUUCCAUUAUAUCCCAGACAAGACAUAAUUUAUUGAGAUCUCAUUAUUAUUAGGUCCUUCAGUACCUUGAAUCUUGGCGUCCCAAGAAUCAGGAUUAGAUACAUCAGGGCCGGCCGCAUCUAAGCAUUCAUGAUCGGCCGCGAUCGCUAUUAGGGUUUUGGGAUCGGCUGCGACUAAGUCUCGGGAUUUAGGGACAGACCCGGUCGUGUCUAGGGUUUCAACAACCCCGGUUUCAUUAUCUUUGGAACCUAUCUUUGGAACCUAUUUGUAUACCGCGUUUUAAACGUUGUCUAGACUCUGUAGCAAGUUGAUUGUGUCCUUCUUGAACAUCAAUUCUUAUUGGUGCAUUAGCAGCUGGUAUAUAUGACUUAGUCACUCUUUUCAGGCCAGCAAAGGAAUCUGGCAAUUGAUUUGCUAGCUUUUGUAAAUGUAUUAUCUUUUGGACUUCUAAAUCACAUUCCUGAGUCCGAGGAUUUUGCCAGGAUAAGGAUGUUUGAUUCCAUGUAAUUUCUUUUACCAGUUUACUGCUAUCUCCCCAUAAUGUUGGAUGUUCGGAUUCAUCAAAGUGACAAUCCGCAUACAUGGCCUUAAAUAAAUCACCCAUAGUUGGCUCAAGGUAUUUUAUAAUCGUGGGAGAAUCAUAUCCAACAUAUAUCCCCAUCCUCCUUUGAGGUCCCAUCUUUGUUCUCUGUGGUGGAGCAAUUGGUACAUAGACGACACAGCCAAAUGUCUUAAGAUGGGAUAUGAUUGGCUUAUGACCCGUAAGCAAUUGUGAUGGGGAAUAUUUAUGUUCACUAGACGGUCUGAUACGAAUCAGUUCGGCCGCGUGCAAGACCUCGUGUCCCCAAGUUAUGGCCGAAAGCUUAGACCUCAUAAGCAAUGGUCUAGCUAUUAGCUGAAUUCGUUUUAUGAAUGAUUCGGCCAAGCCGUUCUGUGUAUGUACAUGUGCCACAGAGUGUUCCACACUUACCUCCAUGGACAUACUGUAAUCAUUAAACGCUUGGGAUGUGAACUCACCAGCAUUAUCAAGACGUAUAGUCUUUAAAAGGAUGGCUGUUUGUAUUCAAAAACCGGUCGUGCUAGAGAGUAAAAUUCUCGGUGGCCACUUUAUUAAAUGCGGUAUUGGCCUCCAUCAUACUGACCUUGGCGUAAUAAAGGCCAGUAGAGAGCGUAGGUAUAGACUCUAGGACUUUCUUAUGUCCUUGGCCGAUUUCUAUGAUCUGAAGGAACUCUUUGUUUCCUUCGCCCUUAGUCUCAAAAUGAAAAACAUUCAUUCGAAUGUCUUUAAAGUUCAAUAGGCUUCUCUUAGAGCUGGGUGAAUACAAUGCAUUAGAUAUCUCUAGAUGCGUACCCUUAGGCAACAAGAUGUUAGCCUGGCUGUAGCCCUCUAUGAGACUUUAGAGACUUUUAUAUCAAAAACUUUCAUUUAUCAAUAAAAUAAGUUCAAAGCAAUCAAAACAUAGAAAACACAAAGCAAAGAACACAAAACAUAGAUGUCGAAUUCAACUUCAUUCUUUUAAACAAUCUGCAGUUUCAUAAUCCAUAAGAUCGUCUCGUUCAUGAUUGAAAUCAUGUUCACCAUCUUGAUAAGUCAUAUGAGCUUCAGGAUUCUUCCCUUUCAAACUUUCUUAGUAGAGGUCAACGAGAUGUUUGGGAGUCCUACAUGUCUUAGCCCAAUGAUUAUCCAUACCACAUCUAUGGUACACGGAUUUGGUCGAGUUUUGUGGCUUGAAAGAUGUACCACGGCCUCGGCCAUGUCCACGGCCUCCAUAGGAGCCACAGCCAUUGAAGUCCUGGAUUCUGAGAUUCCUCCAAUCAUACAUAGCCUUUGGUAAUAACACCGUUCUCUGGUGAUCAUAUCUCGUUUUCAACUCUGUCCAAAGGUCUAGAGGAUUCUCAAUAGUCAAAUACUGAUCUUUGAGACUCUCAAUAAGAUGAUGGCGUAUAAUUAAUAUCGCACUGUAUCUAUCUUUCUCACUUGCAUUAUUGCCCUCGGUGAUACAUUCACCGAGUCCCUUGGAUUUUAAGAUGAUCUUAGUAUCAAGUGCCCAUUGCAAGUAAUUAUCUCCAGAGAGAUUUAGGGCAGCAAAAUCCAAGUUGUUGGUUUUCGACAUCUGAAAUCAUAUAUCUCAAUCUGCCCUAAUCAUCCUAGCAAGAACGGUUUCUAAGUGAUCAUGGAAACAUGAAACCUCAAACAAAUAAUCAAGCAAUGCAUCAAGGGAUUAAUUUACUAUCAACCUAACGAUCAUAUUCAAAAUUAAUUAGUCAAUGCAAUUAGGGUUCAAUAUGAACACACUACAAGAAAACAUGUAAUUACCGACUGCAAAAAUAGUCACAAAUCAGUCGUAAAACAUGUGUUUGCGACUAUUUUGCGACUGAAUCGCAUAGUCAGAAUACCACGCGUCGCUAAAACAAUUAGUCGUUAAUCGGUUGCUAUUUUGCGACUGACUAGUGACUGAUUUACGAUUACUGUUAUUAGUCGCAAAACAAUCACAAUUCAGUCGCAAAAUAUUACGACUGAUAUGCAACUAACUGCUAUUUCGUUUACGACUACUCCACGGCUGCUCUUAAGUUGUUAUAUGGUCGAUGUUGUAGUCGUUUUUCGGUCACAAAAUCAAUUAAUAUAUUUUUAAAAAUAUAUAUUUUUUCUUAUUAUUUAAUCAAUUAAAAAAAUUUGAUUAAUCAAUUAAAACACAAAAAUAUGGUUUGCAAUUGAAUUGAUUUACAAUUGAAAUCGGUUUACAAUGAACAAAACAGAAAAAUAAUUAAAUCUAACUAAAAAAAAUUAGAUCUAGGGUUCUUCACGCCAUUUACGGUGGGGCUUCUUCACAGCCAUUGACGGCGGGUCUCCGGAGCUUGAACAGAGGAGGCAAGCUUGAACGGUGAAGAGCCUGAGCCCGAGACGAGAAGACAGACGGUGAGCUUGUGAAGAGGUGAGGAGAGGUGGGAAGAGCUUUACCGUAGACAACGGUGGUCGUCGUCGUCUUUAUGUAGCUUACGCCUCCACUGUAUCUCUGUAGCUUCCGUCAUCUCUGUGUAGAUUUCGUUGUCUCUAUGUACCUUCCGUCGUCGUCUAUUAAUAGCUUGAGCAGAAGUGAGGAGAAGGAUUGAGUAUAAGUGAGGUGGAAAUGAACAGCUUGAGCUUGAAGACGAACACCGGCUUCGGUGCAGAAAGAAGAAAGAAAUAAAGAACAGAGGAGAUAGAGCUGAGAUGGAGAAACAGAGAAGAGAGGACGAAAGAGAGGACAAUGAGUUCUAAGUUGAAGAUGAAAGAGGAAGAAGAUUGCUUUACUCGUGGAAAGGAAGAGAUAUAUGUGAGAGAUGUAGACCAUUGGAUUAAGAAUAAUCAAAGGUGAAGAUUAAAAGAUUGGUUAUCCUCGCCAAUUGGUACUCAACCAAUAGAAAAUAAAAGGAUGGAUUGCUUUUUGUUUUUAUUGCCCUCGGUGAUACAUUCACCGAGUCCCUUGGAUUUUAAGAUGAUCUUAGUAUCAAGUGCCCAUUGCAAGUAAUUAUCUCCAGAGAGAUUUAGGGCAGCAAAAUCCAAGUUGUUGGUUUUCGACAUCUGAAAUCAUAUAUCUCAAUCUGCCCUAAUCAUCCUAGCAAGAACGGUUUCUAAGUGAUCAUGGAAACAUGAAACCUCAAACAAAUAAUCAAGCAAUGCAUCAAGGGAUUAAUUUACUAUCAACCUAACGAUCAUAUUCAAAAUUAAUUAGUCAAUGCAAUUAGGGUUCAAUAUGAACACACUACAAGAAAACAUGUAAUUACCGACUGCAAAAAUAGUCACAAAUCAGUCGUAAAACAUGUGUUUGCGACUAUUUUGCGACUGAAUCGCAUAGUCGGAAUACCACGCGUCGCUAAAACAAUUAGUCGUUAAUCGGUUGCUAUUUUGCAACUGACUAGCGACUAAUUUAAGAUUACUGUUAUUAGUCGCAAAACAGUCACAAUUCAGUCGCAAAAUAUUACGACUGAUAUGCAACUAACUGCUAUUUCGUUUACGACUACUCCACAGCUGCUCUUAAGUUGUUAUAUGGUCGAUGUCGUAGUCGUUUUUCAGUCACAAAAUCAAUUAAUAUAUUUUUUAAAAAAUAUAUUUUUUCUUAUUAUUUAAUCAAUUAAAAAAUUUUGAUUAAUCAAUUAAAACACAAAAAUAUGGUUUGCAAUUGAAUUGAUUUACAAUUGAAAUCGGUUUACAAUGAACAAAACAGAAAAAUAAUUAAAUCUAACUAAAAAAAAUUAGAUCUAGGGUUCUUCACGCCAUUUACGGUGGGGCUUCUUCACAGCCAUUGACGGCGGGUCUCCGGAGCUUGAACAGAGGAGGCAAGCUUGAACGGUGAAGAGCCUGAGCCCGAGACGAGAAGACAGACGGUGAGCUUGUGAAGAGGUGAGGAGAGGUGGGAAGAGCUUUACCGUAGACAACGGUGGUGGUCGUCGUCUUUAUGUAGCUUCCGCCUCCACUUUAUCUCUGUAGCUUCCGUCGUCUCUGUGUAGAUUUCGUUGUCUCUAUGUACCUUCCGUCGUCGUCUAUUAAUAGCUUGAGCAGAAGUGAGGAGAAGGAUUGAGUAUAAGUGAGGUGGAAAUGAACAGCUUGAGCUUGAAGACGAACACCGGCUUCGGUGCAGAAAGAAGAAAGAAAUAAAGAACAGAGGAGAUAGAGCUGAGAUGGAGAAACAGAGAAGAGAGGACGAAAGAGAGGACAAUGAGUUCUAAGUUGAAGAUGAAAGAGGAAGAAGAUUGCUUUACUCGUGGAAAGGAAGAGAUAUAUGUGAGAGAUGUAGACCAUUGGAUUAAGAAUAAUCAAAGGUGAAGAUUAAAAGAUUGGUUAUCCUCGCCAAUUGGUACUCAACCAAUAGAAAAUAAAAGGAUGGAUUGCUCUUUGUUUCGGAAGAAAAGAAACACACACAAAAAUAAAUGAAUCUAGACCAUUAGAUUUAAGCAAUUUAAGAUAAUCAACGAUUGAGAUAGUAUCCCUUAAUUAGUGUAUUGACCAAUAUAAAAAGAGAAGAAAUUUUUUUUUAAGAGAAGAGAUUAUUGAUUAUAUUUGUGUAGGGUUUGAAGUUUUGGAGUUUUGACUUGAAAAAUAUAUUUUUAUAGGUCUUAGUUUUAACUUAAGAUUAAGUGUAUAAAUAGUAGAUACAUUUUGGUUAAUUUUUUUUAAGUUUGUGAUUUUAUGUUUGGAGUUUUGAUUAAAAGUUAUGAUACAGGGUUUGAGGGUUAAAUUUAAAGUUUGGAAUAGUAUAGUUGAAACUAAUAAAAUUUUCUUCUCCAUUUAUAUACAGUUUGUUUAGAAAUUUUCUAAAUUUAAAGUAUUAGAUAUCAAAUUUAACAUUUGUAAAAUAUAUGUUUAAGAUUUGGUGUUCAAAUUUUAAGAUAGAGUUGUUUGGGUUUAGAUUUGGGUAUAAGGUAAAUUAUAAAAAAAAAAGCCUAAGAUUAAUUUAUAGUAUUUGGAGUUUAAUUUUAAAUUUAAUGUAUAUAGCAUAUACGAGGUUUAUAUUUUGAUUAUAUCAUUUAAAAAGUAUUUAAAGUUUAAGUUUAAUUUAAAUGAUAAGAUUGAAAAGAUUAGAUUUUAUAAUGUUAUAUGCAGGUUUAAAUUUGGGGUUUAGGGUAUAGAUGUUAAGAUAAGAGUUUAGGGUAUAGGUAUGCAGUCGCAAAACAGUCGCUAAUUUUACGACUGUUUUGCGACUACCUACUGUGAUCGACAUCUAUAGUCGUAAAAAAAUCGCAAAAUUAGCGACUGUUUUGCGACUACGCAUUCUAUACCCUAUGUGGAGUAUGUAGUCGCAAAUCAGUCGUUAUUUUACGACUGUUUUACGACUACAGUUGCCGACAACAUUAAAUGGUCGCACAACAGUCGCUAAUUACCAACUGAUUUGCGACUGAUUUGUUUAGUCGCACAUUAGCGACUGAUUUACGACUAACGUAUUUUAGUCACAAAUCAGUCUCAAAACAGUCGCAAUCCUGUCGCAAUAUUUUGCGACUGCACGAUCAGUCGCAACAUGCAGUCGGUAAAUUCAUGUUUUCUUGUAGUGAUAAGGUUCAAUCAGUUCAUGUUUUCUUGUAGUGACAAGCAGGUUGGAUUCAAGUCUUAAAACAAGAUGAGAACUAAUCAACUUAAGCGAUUUCUAUCUUAAGACAAUAUUCAAUUAGUUCAUCAAUUCAAACAACCAAAUUCAAGUAUGAGAUUAAACAAUCCUAGCAAUCGGUUCUAUGUGAUCAAAUUUAAAUUUAAAACAUUCAAUCACAUAAACAAUCGAAUCAAAUUUUGAUUUCGAAUUAGGGUUUGCAUGGUAUGCAUGCGGCUAGGCUUUAGGGAAUUAUGGUUUGGAUUUUAAUCAAGCAAUAAGAUUCAAUUUAGGUUAUUAGGGAUUGGAUCUAUUGCCUUAGGGUUUGGUUCUUAGGUUUUAUUUUUACCUAAACCUCAAGUCGGGUUGAAUGGACCUCCAACUAGAGAAGAACGCGAGCUGAUCGUUGCUGUCGGGUCGCGAACGGGUUGUUGUCUGUCGCUAACUGAUUGAAGCUGAGACGGGUCGCGAUCGUGCUGGCUAUCGAGCUGAGUCGCGAAUUGGAGAACGGACUGAGGUCGUGUGCUGAGAUCGGGAACGCCUUGAGUAUGGAGUUUUAGGUUCUCGAUCAGAUUAGGGUUCGUCGCCGGGUUUAGGGUUUAUCACCGGCUAGGUUUUAGGGUUUGAGUCUCGAGACUUUAGUUUAGGGUUCUUAGAGUAAUCGUGCUGAUAACGUGUUGUGAAACAAGAUAAUAGAAUCUGUAUGUUUCUGUAUUAUUCAUAAACAUAAAAAGUCUUUUAUAUAUAGGGAAUUACACUGUCAUACAAUAAUGGAAAGACUAAAGAAAAGAAAUACAAAUAUGAAAAGAGUACAAAUCAUAAUCUAAUAAGGAAAAAUGCAAGAUCUAAUAAAGAAAAAGGCAAGAUACCGAUUCCCUCUCUCUAGCAUUGGACCGGUUAUGAACCGGAUGGGUUAUAAACAUAACAAUAUAAUUUAUAACAAUCCGUAUAUUCGUAACUUUCCUUACCUACAAAAAAAAAACUUAGGGAAUUUGCAAACUUAUCCACUAAGUAUAUAAAUAAAUAUUGAAAGCUGCAUCGAACGAGUCACAACGAAUAUAUCGUCGUCGUAAAACUAAAAGCUAUUUGAACUUCGAAUGACUAAAAAUCCUCGCUCGAUUCUAAAGAAAAUUCCCAUGGUUCGAUUCAGUUUCAGUUCUCAUGUCCGAAGACGAACAAGUUCUCUGUUUUUGUAAUCGAAAGUUCCGCUCUUUUUCUUCUUUUUUUCCUCGUUAGGGUUCUCUCUGUUCUGCUCGAUAAGGUAAUUGUGAGUUUCGUAUACUCUGUUCUGGGUUUUAGAUUUGACUCUGUUACUGAGUCUGAUUUGAUCAUAGAUUCAUAGAGUAUUCUGUUUUUUUUUUUCACUGGAGAUUUUGUUCUGUUAUUGAUCUUUGUUUGAUAGUGAGUGUGACAUUUAAAAGUAUUCAACUUUGAUUCCCAGGAACAGUGUUCUCAAAGAUGAACAGGAGUAGCAACUCCGAAGGUGCCAAAGCAGAGCAGAUCAUAUUCGAGUUCUUCGCUAAAACCCUCCACAUCAUCCUCGAAUCAAGGACUCCUUUCAUGUCUUCAAGAAACUUCAGUAGUAUCGGCGAGCAGAUGAUCUGCUCACCUUCCUCAUCUUCCUCGUCUUCCUCCAGCGUCAGGCCUCGUGACAAAUGGUUCAACUUAGCUCUCAGGGAGUGUCCUGCAGCCUUGGAGAGCUUCGACAUCGGCCGCAGAAGCACGCUAGAGACUUUGGUUGUCGAUGUGGUUCUUGUGGCGAGACCAUUUGAUCAGAUGAAUUCUCAAGGUGGAAGAGAGCUUAUCUGGAACUUCUCCGGGAAAGAUGAUUGUGAAACCAAGAACGAGCAGAUCAUUGAGAGAUGGGUUGUGCAGUAUGAUAAUAGGAAGGUUAGGGAAAGGAGGUCAAGUAGUAGUAAUAAUAAUAAGCUGAAAGUGAUGUAUAAGAAAGCAACUUUGCUUCUGAGAUCACUCUUUGUGAUGGUUAGGCUUUUACCUGCUUACAAGAUCUUCAGAGAACUUAACUCCUCUGGACAGAUCUUCAAGUUCAAGCUUGUCCCUAAGGUUCCAACCAUAGUUGAGCCAUUUACUCGUAGAGAAGAAGCAGAGAUGCACAAGUUUGCUUUCACACCGGUUGAUACCAUCUGCGGUAGGCUUUGCAUGUCGGUGUUGUAUCGAUCUCUCUCGGAUGUCAGUUGCAGCCAACACUCAGCUCCUGUGUCUCCGACGUUUAUCACCGAUUACGUUGGAAGUCCCUUGGCUGAUCCUUUGAAAAGUUUCCCUUCUCUGCCUCUUUCUUAUGGUUCGCCGCCGUUGAUGUCGUUUCAGAGGCGUCAUAGCUGGAGUUUUGAUAGGUACAAGGCCUCUCCACCUUCGGUCUCUUGCUCACCGUCGCCUACACGGUCUGAUUCACAAACGUUGGUUACUAAUCCUUGUUCUCGUUGCCUUCCUCCUCAUCCUUGUCAAGAUUUUUCUCCUCCUUGUUCUCCUUCAGCACAUGCACAAGCCUUCCCAAGAAGCAUCACGCGUACUGAAAGUGCUCCAGUUAGGAUUCCAGCUCCUAGUUUUGAGUCUAAACAGAACGUGGUGGUGGCACCUUCUUCUCAUUUAAAGUUGUCGAGACAUGCUUCUUUGAAGCCUGUGAGAAACACUGCUCCUGUUGAAUCUGGAGCAGCGUUGGAGAAGGUAAACUUAACUCCACAUGUCUUAAAUUUUCUCUUCUUUUUUUUUUGUUUCAUUAUGUGAUUGAGCGAGUAAGAUCCUAUUGUAUUUUUUCUCUUUUAGAUGCAUAUCUAUGGUAGGGAAGACUUUAGGAGGAACUCUGGGGUGAAGCUAUCUUCCAACAGCUCACCGAGGAUAUCAUUUUCUAGAAGUUCAAGUAGAUCAUACCAAGAUGGUUUUGAUGAUACUGAUUUUCCUUGUCCAUUUGAUGUUGAGUAUGACGAAAUUACAGAUUCUAGUAGUAGCAGGUAUGAGUCUUUAUCUAACAACUGAAGCACACAGUCUCUCUGUUCCUUUGGAUCUCUUUGUAGCUACUAGCUUCGAAAGUAGUAAUUUUGCUAAGCCUGGCUCCAUUUAUCCGUUCGACUUAAGAAGCUGUUCCAUGUACUUCUCUGAUUUGAGAUUUUGAAGUUAUUAGCCAUUAGACCCAAAUAAUUAACUAUAAUACUUCUCUAUCCACGUAGCUAGCGUUCAUCAGUUAUUGGCGUAUUCUUUGACAUUAUAGAUGGAAUACAGUCUAUAGUAGAGAAACCAGAGAAACCGUUUAGGCUUAAGCUAAUAUCAUGUUUCAUCAUCUAUCUGGUUUAUCAUUAACUCCCCAACAGAUUGGUCUUUUGUUUAAUAUAAUCACUGGGAAUGGUUCUCCUCUCUGAUUCACUUCUUGACUGUUGUUUUUGGAACUGCGAUUAUAUGUUUCUCGAAUAGAACUGAUUUUUGCUUUAUUGUUGACUUAUUUCAGACCAGGCUCCUUGGACCAGAGGAGUGAUAUACAUGAACCACCACCAUUUGAGUCGAGCGGUUCGUACCCAAAAAAGUCACAAGAUGCAGCAGUCGGUGCUCUAGUGAAUAUGCUGAAGAAAGCUCCACCUCUCAGACAAGACGUCUCUGAAACUUCCAUACCUGAACUUUGUUGGAAGAACAACAAGAACAAACCUGGAGGGGGUCAGAAGAUAGCAACGGCGUCAAUGACAGCGUCAGGGAUAGCUCUGGCGGCAAAGACAACAGCUGACGCGUUGGAAGAGCUGAGGUCUUACAAAGAAAUGAAGAAUGUGUUGCUUAGCGAAUCCACAAAGGAUUUGUCCUCACCCUUUGCUGUUUCAGAAUCUUGAUACUUUUUUUGGUUAGUUUGGGUAUUGGUUUUUUGGUUUGGUUUGUUUGGUUUUGAUUUUACAUAAUGUGCCUAUGUACUAAGCUCUCGAACCGUAUCCAUGUAAAUAAACUUUUACCAAAGAAAACAAUGUAAAUAAAUUGUAAACCUUUUUUUUAUCACACGUAUAAAUAAUUAAUUAGAUUACAUCUACAUAAAAAAAAAAUUUUGUUAGACAUCUACAUAAUUAAUCAGUGUAAACAAAAUUUUUAAUAGAAUUACUGUAUAUUAGAAGAAAAAAAUGUUUAUUUACAUGGGAGAAAACUCGGUGUUCCAUCAUUAUUAUUCUUUCUUGCCUGAGUGAUACGGUGCCGUUUAAGAACCUUGGGCGAAUCUAGGAAGAAUAAAACCCUAAAUAAUGUAAACCGGACCAAAUCUGAUAUUGUCUGUGUUCACUCUCUCGUCGGAAGGAAGGAAGGAAGAAGGAGAAGAUCUGGAAAAUGCCGCUGUACGACUGUAUGCUUCUGUUCAAGCCAGUAAUCAGGAAGGAAGGUCUGAUCGAUCUGGUUGCUCGCAUCGGGAAACACGUUUACAGCAAAAAUGGAGUUCUCACGGAGGUCAAAUCCUUCGGCAAGGUCGAAUUGGGUUACGGUAUCAAAAAGCUCGACGGUAGACACUAUCAGGUAAAACGCAGUGUUUCCAUUCCUCUUCAGGUUUCUUGUUGAAUCGAUGGUUAUAUAGAGUUUCAUUUCAGUGCUUGCGCAUUAGGGUUUAGAUUGGCAUUUCGGAAUAUGAUACUUAUUAGCUUUAAGUUGAAUUCUUGAAGCAACCUCUUCCGAUUGUGAACAUUUGGUCAAUAGUUGUACUAGUAGCAUAUGCUUGCUGAGUAUCAGCACAAGCUUUAAGCAUCAUCAGUCUCCUGUUUCUCUCUAAUAGAAUAUUCGUACUGAAGAUGCAUCUUCUUUGUUAGCUUCUUCUCUCGCUAAUUCUUGCAUUUGAGUGUGUAAUAUGUAAUAAUGUAAUUAUGUAUUGGGUGAAUGGCGUGCAGGGACAAUUGAUGCAGAUAACAAUGAUGGCAACUCCAAACAUUAACAAGGAGCUUCACUACCUUAACAAGGAAGACAAGCUCCUCCGCUGGCUCCUUGUUAAACACCGUGACAUCAAGAUUGGUUCAUCCGAGAUGGAAGACCGUCUGGACGAGUCUAACAGAGUUACUAAUAGGAGCUUGUAUGAUGAGUCUUCUACGGACGAAGACGACGAUGUCUUAGGCUUAUCUCGAUGAUGAGAAUAAUGAAAUCGUUUUACUUUUUGAAAAAAUAUGUUACUCAGACCACCAGAGUGUCCUUCAUCUUUAUCUUGUGGCUUGUUGACUUGGUGUUGUUUUGCUCCUCAGACAAAGAAAUAAGAUAUUCAUGUAAUGGUUUUAGGCAGAAAAAAAUAAAGGAAAAACUGAGACGGUGGUCCUUCGUGAAACAAACACUCCUAGUGUUUCUUUAUGUCAUUUUUAAUUUGAAGUUAAACUGAAGUGUUACUAUGUUACUAACAGCAACCCCAUGUUCAUUUGGGAUGUAUGUGUUAGGAGAUCUUAGACAUUUACCAUACUGCCAAUGCAUGAAGGUUAAUAAGACCCUGUUUCACUCUCCGAUAAUCUAUGAUCAAAUUCAGGACCCAGAGUUAAAGCAGUUUAUUCAGAAAUGGUUAUCGGCAAGGGAGCUUCUAUUGAACCCCUUUCUUCAACUCUCUUGCCACAUUGUAUUUGUUAUGCCCAAAGAAGGUGCGAAUGGAGGACGUUGCCUUGCGUCGGAAGGCCAACCUACAACACAUAGUAGACCCAUUGUCUAUAGACCUAGAAGAAGACGAUAACCUGCCGAUUGUUAGUUUUAGCGACGACUCAGGAUCCAUGUGUAAUGAGGUUGAGGGGAUUCUUUGUCCUAAAGGUGUAAGAAACAAUGAACAGUCUGUAUUUCUAAUUCUUCGUAUAGUGGACGAGAAUGGUGAACGUUUUGGUUCAGCUCCAGUUACAUAUCCAAUAGUUUCAUUCUUUGAGACAUAGGAGCUUUUAUAUUUUCAGCAGCUCAAAAAGAUUCCAUAGUGUUAUUUAUGACCAAUAUAACACCAUGUAUAUCUAAAGUUUUGACUAAUAGAACAUCAUGUUUAAACCAGCUCACGAAGAUUCCAACAGCUCAGUGCUGACCAAUAGAACAUCAUGUUUACCUAAAGUUUUUCUAGGUGUUUAUGUUUCAGUCAUGCCAAUAUAGUUAAACAACAAUGGUUUUCUAGGUGUGUAUGUUUCAGUCAUGCCAAAUAUAGUUAAACAACAAUGGUUUAAGUUAAGUAAACUUGGGUUGAACAUUAUGAAUUAGUGCAAGCGUUCAGAAAAAAAAAAAACCUAGAAUAAGACUUUCAUUCAUGCAAAAUGGAUCCAAGAGACGAAAGUGUAAUUAAGUUUAGAAACCAAACAUGAUGUCUUCCAAGAACACAUUCCAUAAAGCAGACAAAACAUGGCAAACUCAUAACAAAUCGACCUAAAUCGACAAUCACUGGUCUCCAGGAAGCGACUUGAUGAUGUCGGAAUCACCUGGAUCAACGAUGCUGAGACAUGAAACACGGAAGUACUUUCCACAAGCAGUUCCCAAAUCGACAUUGUUGCCAUUGUAGUGAUGAACACCAACUUUAGCAAGCAUGGCGUAGUACUCAAUCUCUGAUCUCCUCAACGGAGGGCAGUUGCUAGAGAUGAGAAUCAACUUACCUAACACAACAUAUCGAAACAAAACCCUCUUAACCACUAUUCAACAGAGCUAUGACCUAAGACGAAACGAUCAAAAAGUUUUGUUCUUUACCUUUGGAGCUGCGAAGGGACUUGAGAACGGAUUUGUACCCAAGAGUGUACUUUCCACUCUUCAUGACAAGAGCUAGUCUGCUGUUGAUUCCCUCAUGGGACUUCUUCGUCUUCUUCGCCGCCACCAUCUUCUAAUCGCCGUGAAGUGUCGCUGAUCGCCGGAUUUACAGGAAGAGUCCUUUCGGGGUGAGCGGCGCAAAAUGAUAAAUUAAAUAGAGUGACGAUGGAACCCUAAGGGUUUUCUUUUAUUUAUUUUCGUCAAGAUACAGGCUCACGGCCCAACAUAAUCCCAGCCCACGGCCCACUAAUUCAGGCCUUUAGGGUAACUUUUACCUUUUGGCGGGAGUUUUUGGGAUUUGAUGGCACCAAAAUUUUUUAGCGAAAUGAUCAAAUCAAUAAUUCGAGAAAUCUGAAAUUCGAAGGAUAAAAAAAAAACCUUUCGUCGGAGAAAGUAGAGAGGAUUACUCAUCGAAUCGUUCAUGGGCCGAUUAGAUUUAGCGGCGGCGAAGAGAGCUUACCGGACAGCGACGGAAGUAGGUAACCGGAGCGAAGAGGCGAGAUGGGCCAAUAACGUCGGCGAUAUCCUCAAAAACGAAGGAGAGUACGUGGAGGCUCUCAAGUGGUUUCGAAUCGAUUACGAUAUCUCCGUCAAGUAUUUGCCCGGGAAGGAUCUGCUGCCUACGUGUCAGUCUCUCGGCGAGAUCUAUCUCCGUCUCCAGGACUUCGAAGAAGCCUUGAUCUAUCAGGUAACACGCCUCUGAUUUAAAAAAAAAUAAUAAUAAUAACCGACUUAUCGAAGAAGCUUUGACCGAGUUUGACUUUUCUAACUGUUUUUUUUUUUGUGUGUGGUUGUUGCAGAAGAAGCAUUUGCAGCUAGCUGAAGAGAACAACGACACCGUGGAGAAGCAACGAGCUUGUACUCAGCUCGGCCGUACCUACCAUGAGAUAUUCUUGAAAUCUGAGGACGAUUGCGACGCGAUUCAGAGUGCUAAGAAGUACUUCAAGAAAGCCAUGGAGCUUGCACAGGCUCUCAAGGAGAAACCGCCUCCUGGAGAAUCUGGAAGCUUUCUUGAGGAGUAUAUCAACGCGCAUAACAACAUCGGUAUGCUUGACCUUGAUCUUGAUAAUCCCGAUGCUGCUUGUAAGAUUCUCAUGAAAGGACUGAGGAUUUGCGAUGAAGAGGAGGUUAAGGAGUAUGAUGCUAUGCGUAGUAGGCUUCAUCAUAACCUUGGGAACGUUUAUCUGGAGCUGAGGAGUUGGAAAGAGGCUAAAGAGCAUAUCAAGAUGGAUAUCAAGAUCUGCCAUCAGAUAAGUCACUGCCAAGGAGAAGCUAAGGGGUAUAUCAAUCUUGCUGAGUUGCACAACAGGACGCAAAACUACGGGGAUGCGCUUAUGUGUUAUGGUAAAGCUUCUACUCUAGCGAAAUCUAUGCAAGACGAGAGUGCGUUGGUUGAACAGAUAGAGCAGAAUAUCAAGAUUGUGAAGAAAGCCGUUAAAGUUAUGGAAGAGAUGAGGGAAGAAGAGCGUAGGCUUAGGAAGUUGUCUGCUGAAAUGGCUGAUGCCAAAGGCACUUCGGAGGAACGGAAGUCUAUGCUUCUAGUGCAUGCGUGUCUUGAACGUCUCAUUGAAAAAUCCAGCAUGGUAUUUGCAUGGGAUAAGGUUAGUUUAUUUCUUAAGCACUUUCUUGUUUUUAAGAACAAUUAAUACCAUGUCUGCAUGUGUUUGAAAUGUUUCCAAAAGUUAGUGUUGAUCAUCUUAGGGAGCUUCAAUCAUAAAUAAGAGUUGUUAGAUCUUUAGAUAUCAUAGGGUACUAUGGAGUAAGACAGUUAUGUUCAUUUCUUAGAAAAAAUCGGGUUUUGUUGAAUUCUGUUGAUGACAUUGUCUUGUCAGAUCAGUCAAAAAGACUAUUAUCCAAGAAUUGCUUGAUUUUUCUUCUCUCCAGAAAACAUAUCUUUUAGAAAGUUAGUCCUCGGAUUUAAAUUUUUAUUUCAUUACUUUUAAACGAAGUCAAUAUGUUAGACCAAAGUGGCAAAACUAUACUUGUUCUGUACCAAACGGAUAUUGAGCUAUCAAUGAUCCAAGUCUAUAACCACUGUUCUAAUGACUUGUAAUAUAGUUUAAGUUGGAAGCUGACAUUUAAUUUUUCUUCCAACUAAGGGUUUCACUUUCUUCUUUGAAUGUCGUAGCAUCUUGAAUAUUCAAAAAGGAAGAAGAAAAUAUCAGCUGAACUCUGUGACAAGGAAAAGCUGAGUGAUGCCUACUUGGUUGUUGGAGAGUCCUAUCAAAAGCUUAGAAAAUUCAGAAAAUCCCUGAAGUGGGUCGCAAGAAGUUAUGAGGGAUACAAAGCAAUUAGUAAUUUCGAGGUGAGAUUUUGUUUGCUUGUUACGGUUAGUUAUUAAAAUUUAUAUUUCAUUUUUAAAUCUAAAUCACAACAAUAUAAUUCACUGAUGAGGCCUCUCACAUGGUUUGGGUAAAAGGAACACUGAUAAUACUAUUUUUGGAUUUUUCAUAUCGUAGCUUUUCGUCUUUAUUGACUCUAAUGCUCACUUAUGUUGGCAUCUUUUAGGGACAAGCAUUGGCGAAAAUUAAUAUAGGUGAUGGUUUGGACUGUAUUGGUGAAUGGACACAAGCACUCAAAGAAUUUGAAAAGGGAUACAGGUAGGUCCAUUAUCAAAUUGUGCAUUUGAGCUACUGAGUAUCCUAUUAUUUGUGAUUUUAUCCAAAUACAUGGAUCUACUUAUUAAUCUCUUUUAGAAAAUUGACAAUUCUAUUGCAUAGCAUUACCCUGUGAUGAAGGAAGGUUUAAUAGCUUAGCAAACACGAAUCUAUUAUAAUUCAAAUACGUCCAAGAAUUACUGCACUAGAGCUUAUGAAUAAGUGUUUUGAGUCAGUAGUUUUCAUUAUCACUGUCGAAAUCCACGCAUGCAUACCUCGCUCAUGCUAAUGAGUCAGUGAUGGUCGUUUUGGAUCUAAUUUCAUCUGAUCCUGCAGAAUUGCUUUGAAAGCCAAUCUUCCUUCAGUUCAGCUUUCUGCACUGGAACAUAUGCAUUAUAGCCAUAUGAUCAGAUUUGGGAAUGCUAAAGAAGCCAGGUAAUCUUUAUCUGGAGUCAUAUAAAUCUGAAGUUGGAUAGAAAUAUAAAUCUGCUGCAAGGUUUGCAGGGCUGCAACUAGGCUUGUGGUUUUGAAUUUACAGUUUCUCAUAUACAUAUUUUACUGUUUAGGGAGUUGAAGGAAAAAAUACAAAAUCUGGAGUCAGAACAUGGUGAGAGAGCAGAAUGUGGUACAGAAGAUGAAUGCUCUGAAACCGACUCAGAAGGGCAUGGGUACAUAUCAAAUGAUAGGCCAAAUGCAUGUAGUUCGCCAGAUCUCCAAACAUCAAAUUCACCUGAAUCAGAACCGUUAGCAGAUUUUAAUGAAGCAAGUGAUGACGUGCCACUAAGUUCAUUUCUCCCGCCUGGUAGACGUCUUUCCAAAAGGAAACAGUUUUCAGGAAAACAAGAUGCUGAGACUGAUCAGGCCAAGAACGAUUGCUCUGCACCAGCAGACUCUCAGCAGACAGUCUCUGGUCGGAAGCGUAUUCGUGUAAUCCUCUCUGACGAUGAAAGUGAAACCGAAUAUGAGUUGGGAUGCCCCAGACGCAGUUUUCACAAAGUUACAAGUCAGCGUAAGGAAGUCUCUGAUGAAAGUAUGUAUUUUGAUGGCGCUGUUAAUUGUACGGAUAAUCCUGCUAUUCAAGACCAUGUAGAAGAAGGUUCUUGCUCGUUUACGUCUCUCCGUCCCACUAAAGCUGCUCCAGAUGCCAACAAUUGCAGACCUCUGACCAAUACUAAAGCUGUUGAACCAACUGGUUGCGGUAUAAAAGGAUCUCAAUGUGAAGCUGGCGAAUCCAACAGCACGCAAUGCAAACAUGGAUCUGCUCUCGUGAACUUCCACACUUAUUCCAAGACAGAUGAUGUGAGAUUUUUUUUACCUUGCUUUUGGUUAUCAUUAACUAAUCUUGAUUGGAUUGUUUUUUUUUUCUAACCUAUGCUUCCUCUUUCCUUCUCCCUAAUAACUAUAUUUUACCUGUUGCAGCAAAAAAUUGAAAUUGAAAUUGAAAAUGUACACAUGGCUUUAGACUCGUGUUCUGGCAAUGAUGAGUCUGUGAAGGUGGAACUUACUUGCUUGUACUAUUUACAGCUUCCUGAUGACGAGAAAUCUAAAGGUAUGUGAACUUAUUGAUUCACAGCUAACGUAUGGAACUCGUCUCAUGCUUUAUAGUUUAUGUUUUACAGCACUUUAACUUCACUGCUCCUAAAGCUGUUUAAAUCUUUGAACGUUCAAUAUGUUUUUCAUUAGGUCUGUUGCCUAUCAUUCAUCAUUUGGAGUAUGGUGGUAGAGUUUUGAAACCAUCGGAUUUAUAUGAGGUUCUCUCGGGCUCUUCUGAAAACGUUGUUAUUGAAGCUUCCGUUAGUGGUAAGUAUUUUCUUGGUACACAUGGGAUCUACAUGUGAUAUUUGGAAUGUGAUUGUCAAGCUGAUCUUACUAGUUAUAUUUUUCAUCUCAAAUUGUUCUUUAAGUUUUUACAUGAGUGUGGCUAUCAGUGUGUCAGAAUGUGAACUGCAAGAUGUAUCAGCUGCUCCUUUAUUGCGUGCCCUCGAUGUGCAUAACACAGUUGCAAUGUUGGAUCUCUCCCACAAUAUGCUAGGUGAAAGUUGCCUCUAACGUCUUACCUUACACAUUUAUUGUACAGUGUUAAACUUCUAGUUUGCGAACGGAAGUAAGUUGGUUUAACUGAUAAGGAACUACUAGGAAAUUUAAUGGUACUUAUUUUUCAUCAUCUUAUUGGUUGCUAGGGAAUGGAACAAUGGAGAAACUGAAACAACUUUUUGCCUCAUCAAACCAGAUGUAUGGUGCUUUAACUUUGGAUUUGCACUGCAAUCGAUUUGGUCCAACUGCUUUGUUUCAGGUAACCGAAUAGGCUCAAAAACUAGAAAGUUUCACAUAUUCGUGUUUUUUCUUAUUGUUAAAUAUAAUCCACUUUACCAGAUCUGCGAAUGCCCUGUUCUGUUCACUCGGCUGGAAGUCCUCAAUGUGUCCAGUAAUCGACUUACUGAUGCUUGUGGAUCAUACCUCUCAACCAUCUUGAAAAACUGUCGGGGUAUAGUUUCUUAAAAGAUUGCCUGUCAUCUAUAGUAUCUAAUUGUUCAGUUAGCAUCUUUUGUUUCUUGGUUUUACUGGUGACUAAUAAACCUGCUAGAUAUAUGAGAUCCCUCCUAAUCUUAGACUAAUAUUUUCGACUCUUAUCUUCCACCAUUCACGCAUUUAUGCUAAAGUGUCCCCAUUUGUUGUUUAGCACUUUACAGCUUGAAUGUGGAAAAGUGUUCACUCACAUCUAGAACAAUCCAAAAGAUUGCUGAUGCUUUGGAUCCGGAGUCGGGACUUUCACAACUCUAUAUAGGUAGACUUUCAAUUUUGUCGUUUACAUCCAUUUUAUUUCUCUCGUUUCAGCUAAGCUAAAGAUAGUAUAUCCCUACUUGUAUGGCAGGUUAUAAUAAUCCUAUUUCAGGGGGUGCCAUUCAAAACCUCUUGGCUAAAAUAGCUACUCUAAGCAGGUUGAGAUAAAAAAAAUAGAGCUGUAUUUUUGUUAACUUUUCAAGUUACGUAAAUCGAUCUGACACUAUCAUAUGUUAAAACAAUGCAGCUUUACAGAACUGAGCAUGAAUGGCAUAAAGCUGAGCAGCCAAGUUGUUAGUAGCCUCUCCGCACUUGUUAAGACUCCAUCUUUAUCAAAACUUUUGGUUGGCAGCAGUGGCAUUGGAACGGUAAUGAAUUUUCUUAUAUUGUGGUUAAAUGCAUUCGUUUUCAUCUGACAAUGCUAUCCAAAUUAUUCUAGGACGGAGCUAUCAAAAUCACUGAAGCUCUAUGCUAUCAAAAGGAAGAAACUGUUAAGCUCGACCUUUCAUCUUGUGGACUAGCGUCUCCUUUCUUUCUUAAGCUCAUCCAAGAUGUUACUCUAACUUCUAGCAUUCUUGAGCUCAAUGUUGGAGGAAAUCUAAUCACUGAAGAGGUAUGUUUUCUAUGACCUCAACACCCUGAAGCUCUUAUCUCUAAACUAUUUUGAGGCUGAUAUGGAAAGAAUUUUGCAAUCAGUUGAACUCGUGAUUUUGUUGUCAUUUCAAUGUAAAAUUAUGUGUUCUUAGAUCAUGACUGACCCUCUGAAACAAUAUACAAAACAGGGAGUUAGUGCACUGGGGAUGCUGCUUGCGAACCCUUGUUCUAACAUAAAAGUUCUGAUUUUAAACAAGUGUCAUCUGAAGCUCUCUGAAAUUCUAUGCAUAAUUCAAGCACUUUCAGGUCUGAAAUAUUAUUUACCCUGCAUCUCUUGUUGUAGCUACGAUUAUACCAAAAAUCUUCUCAUUUGCAAACUAUCAACUAAACAUUUUGCAGAUAAUAAGAAUCUCGAAGAGCUUAAUAUCUCUGAGAAUGCUAAAAUGGAUGAGACUCUGUUUGGCGAGCCUGUGAGUGGAAGCUCAGAAAUGGAACAGAAAGAACAUGGUACAUGUGAAUCCAUCACCGUAAUGGACAAAACUCACAGUGAACAUUGUUGGCAGAACCAAGACAAAGAACAAGAGUUAUGUGAAGCCAAUAUGGAGUGUGGUGAUGGUCUUGAAGUUGCAGACAGCGAAGAUGAGCAAAUAGAGGAACAAACUGCAACGUCGAGUAGUCUUAGUUUACCACGCAAGAACCAUAUUAUCAAAGAGCUUUCGACCGCGCUUGCAGUGGCUAACCAAUUGCAGAUUCUAGAUCUAAGCCACAAUGGGUUGUCAGUUGAAGCCUUGGAAACAUUAUACAUGGCAUGGUCAUCAUCAGGAUCGCGAGCUGGCAUAGCCCAAAGACAUGUGAAAGAUGAGAUUGUCCAUUUUUGCGUUGAAGGAAAGAUGUGUUGUGGAGUCAAUCCAUGCUGCAGAAAGGAUUAAACAUAUUCCUUUCUCUGCUUAUACAAAGCCUCCCACUGUUCUUGUGGUGCAAAAGCUUUGUUAGAGUUAAAGAUCUAAAUUAUCACCUUGUUUUAAUUUUUGAUAAAUAUUGUAAAAUUAAGAAAAAUGUGGUGAAUAUUAAAAGUGAUAUGAUAAUGAAAAUUUGAGAAGGUACAUUUACAUACGUGUAUUUGUAAUUUUGAAAUCGAUUGCGGAAUUUUCGGAUAUAAAUCAAAUUAUUCAUACUAUUUAGCGUGUGAUACCAUUAUUCCCAUCAUAUCUUAUGAAUCAUGCGGUGUUCGCCAUUUACUCUUCCAGUUAAACUAGUUCUCAUUUUGCAUAAUUGUUUUGAGUUUAUAAUUAAAUACUAGAUUCUUUAUCCAAGAUAUAAACCUUUGAGAAGACAUAUUUUUAUUCUUUUUAUAGCUCAUUGGUUGAACGAGUAAGAGGUAAUGAAGUUGUUGUAUUUUCCAUUUUUAUCAAAUUAAACUUUACGAAAUGCAAUUAUCAACGGCUUUGAUAUAUGAUUAGAAAUCAAUGAAAGGAUUAACAAGGUGAAAAGUAAUUAAAGAUGUUUUUUACAACAAUUAAAGAUGUUAAAUCACGCAUUGAAGAAACGAAAGUUGCAUCAUCCCAUCUCGCAAGCUUUAAUUACAUAUACAAAAGAAAACAAAGGAGUAAAAAGUAACAAAACCCCAUCCUAACCAGUACAGUAUUUCACUUAUACUCUAAAGAAGUUACACGCAACCCCCAAAAAAUAACCAAGAGAUCAAGAAACAAUUAAAAAGAGGUCAAACAUCUGAACAGUGUACAUGUCAAAUCAAACAUCAGAGACGAUCAAUGGUUUUCUACUCUUGUUUUGUGUAAGUUCAUGCAUUACAAUACAUUAUAUCAAGUACCCUAGAGAGAGAGAGAGAGGGAGAGAGAGAGAGAGUGAGUAAGCAUGAUCAUGGAGACAACAAGGCUUGUAAACCAAUGCCGUUGUGUUUUCGUGAAGGACCAGAAGCUGGAACAGGUAAGUGUCUUGGCAAGGUCCCAAAGAAAUGGUCUCUCCUCAUAGUGUUUUUGUUGUGAUCAUCAUUAGGGAUUAUGUAGAAAACGCUUGAUGGUGACAAGGCUCUCGAGGCGUCGCAGUGGAGAAUGAAGAAGAAGCAGAAGAACAGAAGAAGAAGAGCUUGUGGGUUUAUUGAUAACCUUUUCAUCCAAUAAUGUUGAUGUUUAGUAACCAUUUCAGUGAUUCAAAUCGAAUAAGAGAACGAGAUCACUAUGGUUAUUUUUGUUUGUUUCAGUUUUGGAGAAAUGGGGUUUGGUUGAGGAGUUUUGAUGGGAGAAAGAGAGCAACCCCUUUUGAAUAGGUCUCUCUUUGGCUGGAAGCCUGGAAGAAUAAUAAUGGCCAAUAAAACUAAAUAAAGGUAAGGGAAACUGAACAUUCAUUAUUGCAUUUUAUAUUUGAAUCACUGAACGAACUAUCACUUGUGUGAAUUUUAUUAUAUAUUAAUUAUUAAAUGUUUCUUUUCUGCGUGGAAAAUGUAUCCAUUUUAUACCAAAAUCGGGAGUAUAUUAUGAAAAAUCAUGAAUUUGGAAUUUAUUCUUUUUUAUAUAUCAUAUAUGUAGUGUCAGGUUGACCGGGGGACAUGAGAAGGAGACUGUUAGGAUAGUAGUUACCUUUUUACCAUGGCCCUUUUGAUUUCUGUAGAUGUCACUAUGAUACAUUUUUAUUAUUCUAUGUUGUUAAGGACUAAAUGAAAAUCUUUACCCACAUUCUCUGCUAAUAUAUUUGAUAACACAAUUAACACUUCUAAUAUCUCCACAAAAAGGUAAACAAUCUGCCUCCAUCCAGUACCUUUAAAACAGCUUAUUGACAAUAUACUCACCAAUUUCAAGCUAUUAUACCACACAACGGAAAAGUGAAUAUAAUGCAUUGAAAUAAAGGAUGGUUUGAAGAAUUAUAAUAUGUUAUGGUAAAAUGAAUGGUCAAUGAAGAAAGUAUUUGGGUCAGCAGGACCCCGAAAUAAAGGUUAAGAAGAUAGAAAAUGGGAAAAAAGUUCUUUUUCAUCCAAAUUAUUAUUGAUCAAGGUAAACUAUAAAUUUGUGAUACAUAACUCGGUUUUAACCCGAAAAAACAGCAAACACUUGAAAACUCAAAUUAAAUGGAAAAACUAUAAAAUGGGUAAUUUGGGGGUUUUAAUAUUUUUUUAUAAAAUUAUAAUUUUGAGAUUAAUAUUAUUUUAUAACUAAAAAAAUAAUAUAAUAAAAAUCAUUUUAGUUUAAUAAAAUAAAAAUCAUUUUGGUUUUCAUAAGUUUUGGUCCGAUUUUUGUUUCAAAGUUUUUUUUGUUUAGUUCCAGUUUUCAGGUUUCAGAUGAAUAUUGUUAAUGAGAAAUUUUGUUAUAGCAUUUAAUAACGUAUAUAGAUAUAUUUGUGUGUAAACUCAAAUAUAUGAUACAAAAAGCAUGAGUCUGAGCCAAUUUUUGUUGUAAGGAUUGCAUAUAGGCUGGCUGUAUCAAACCCCUUACAUAUUAGUUAUACCCUAGUCAUUACAUUCUAGAAUAGAUGACAUGAUUUAUAACUAAAUGUGAUAUGGACGAUUACAUUUAAGGGAAAAUUUUAUGUUUACCACUUUCAUAGUACCACUUUUCAUCUUUACCACCACUAAAGAGACAUUUUCAAAAAUACAUUCUUCAUUAAGUGGCAAAAAACUAUUAUACCCUUGAUAUAUAUAUAUAUAAUAAAUCAUUAUUUAAAUAAAUAAAAAUAAAAAUAAAUAAAAAAUAAAAAAAAUUAUGUUUUCGAAUUAUACUUUUUCAAAUUCGAACAUUUUUUUUUAAAAAAUAAAUUUUUAAUCACAAUAUUAUUAGCUUGUUUUAUAUAACUACAAAUUUUAAAAAUACCAUUUAGUUGUACUUUUCUUAAUUGUACAAAUUUUAUAUCAAUUUUUUAAUUAAUUUUAUACAAGUUGAUUUAAUAUAUUUUAUCCAAAAGAAAUAGGUUAAGAUUUAUCUAAGAUUAUAAUUUUAAAUAUAUACAUAUCUAUUUUAAAAUAUAAUUAAAAAUAAACAAUUUUUUUUAUUUUAUGUUCAAUUAAAUUAUAUUAAAUAUUGGAAAGAGAUAAUAAAUAUAAAAUAAUAAUAAUUUUUGUUUUUAAAUAUAAUUUAAAUUUAAUUUUUUUAUUAGUGUACAUGGUAUAGGAAAACAUCUAGUUCAUUUAGUUGGAGUCCAUAAUUUCCACUUCUUUAACCAAAUUUCAUGCUAAUUUGAUAUUAGAUUAUUUAUUACAAAUACGAGAUGAUUGAUCUGCUUUGACAAGAAAAUAAUGGAGAAAUUGCCAAAAAUACCACUUUCAUAAUACUAGUUUUCAUUUUUACACUAACCACUUUUAUCUUCACUUUUACAGAGGGAAAAAAACAUUUAUAACCUAGGGUUAGCUAAUCUAGACUUAGGGUUUAGUGUCGGUAUGGUAAGGUUUUUGGAAUGUGAAAUUUAGGAUUUUAAUAAAUAUAUAAAUAAAUACUUAAUUUUUUAAAAAAAAAUUAAAAAUAGUUUCAAAAAUAAUUAUCGAUUUUCAAAAAGAGAUUUUGACAGAAAAAAAUUCAAAAAAAAAUCAAAAAAGAAAAAGUUUAUAAAAAUAUUCGAAUUUGAAAAAUUAUCAUUCGAAAACAUAAUUUUUUGGUUUUUAUUUAUUUAAAUAAUUAUUUAUUUUAUAUAUAGAGAACAAUGAUAUAAGAGUUUUUUGCCUUUUAAUGAAGAAUGUAUUUUUAAAAAUGUCUCUUUAGUGAUGAUAUAUAUGAAUAAUGAUGAUAAAAAAGUGGUAAAGACGAAAAUUUUCUAAAAAUAUGAUUGCCAUGCUUUUUUAGUCAUCAACUAAGCCCAUUUAAAUGGGCUUAUAAAUACCCACUAGUGUUAUAUCACUUUUAUAAAGUUUGUUUUAUUUUGUUUUGAGGCAGUUUACUCAAAGUUCUUUUCGUGGACAGCAUGAGUUUCAAACAUCAAAUACUUACAAACGUAGAGAAUAUACUUCAUUAUCACUAAUGCAACGGGUAUACUGAUCGAUGGGUUUUUGGAGAUAAACAUGAAGUUAACUUGGAGACCAAGUUACACCAAUCCUAGUUGAGUAAAUAGGAUUAGGAAAGAUUCAAAUAUGUUAAACCUAAUAAGUUUAGAAAAAUUGUAAAUAUUAUAUAUAAGAAGAUACAAGAACGUUGUCCAACUUGUGAGUUUUAAAGAAUAUUGUGUUUGAGUGUUUGAGUUUUUGAGAAAGUUUUUUAAGGUAAUAAAGAAGAGUUUUCUUUCUAUUGAGAUCUUAUACAAUAUUUGAACUUAUAUGGGUCAUGCAAAAAAAGAGUAUCGAGAAAGUUUCGAGUCUGAACAUCGAUGAUGAAAAAUGCCCAAGUUAACAUGUUUUGUUUAACGCAAGCAAAUUGAGAAGCUGGAUCUUCUGAUUUUCUUUUAGUUUUUAAUAAAGAAUUGGAUAGGCCAAACAUAUAGAAUAAUAAUUUUGGUCACUUUUAUAAUUUCAAACGAACCGAAAAUGUUCACCUUUUUAAUGAUAUCCAGUAAAUACUUUUAUCCCACUACAUGCAUUAUAUUGGUAUAUAUACUAUACUAUAUAGCCACACGUUCACUGAAAGAAAAUGUAUAUAUGUACAUAUAUCCCACACGAGCAAAUACGCCCUCGUACGUUUGAAAUCCUUACAACAAUCCUUUCAAUUACAAAUUUUGCUUCUCUUGAUUAGAUAUAAGUGUGAUCAAAAGCUUUCCCGUUUGUUAAGGCACAAAAGGAUGAACUUUAUUCCAUGAUAUAAGCAAAAAAAACUUUUGAUGUGGAAUUAUAUGUAAUCGCACGCGAAUGAAAUAUCAUCAUACCUAGGUUACUUUACGGUUCCUCAUUUUACUCUUAUCAUCUUCCUUAAUUACCCGUAGCGUGUGAAUAUCUUCAUCAUUAGAGAUUUUAUUACCUUUAUUCCUACUUUUAAAGUUUAAAAUAUUAAAGUCUUACAAGUUACAACAUUAGCAAACUUAGUUUAACUUUUAUCCACACAGAUAUAGCAGUAUUAGCUAUGCCGAAUCUGAAUCAAAAAGAGAAGCUGGUCAGAUCUGAUGUUGACUUGGAAUGGGAUAAUGACACUGGAUAUAUAUGUUUUCUUUUGCAUGUGAUGCAAACUAGUUGCCUCUACCCCUGGCAACCUCUGAAUAAUAUGAAACACAACCCCACACUUUUGGAACUCGAUUCUUCUUCAUAUAUCUAUCUUGACCCAAUAUUUAUUUCGACCUAUUUGGACCAUCGGUUUAUGGAGAAUUCGUUUUGAAUACGUGUCAUGCAGAAUUUUCUUUUGCCAUUUAACCAGUAGCAAUAUAUUUAUGCUAUAUAUUUAUGCUAAGGUUAUAUUUAGUAUCAUCAUAUAAACUGCAAAUUCACGGAACACAUAUAUCGUAUCGAUCAUCAUUCAUCUAUAUUUGUACUCGAUGAGUUCUUCUAUACCAUGCGUGAAGUUUGAGAUAUACAAAUCUCAUAAGUCAUAACCUGCAAAAUACUGUGAAUACAAGUUCAUGGAGAUUUAUUUCAAAUACCACCGGUUUAGAUUUAUUGUGGAUAGAUUGUCCCAUUCAUAGAUACAUAAACCUACCCUUUACAAUGUAUUAGUAGACAACGUCCUAGAAGAGAAGUAAGAACGUAAUUAAUCUCGUUUUUUACCCAUUUCACAUUAGUAUUUUCUUCCAGCAUGCAAUUAUUUUUUUAUAAUGAGAAAUACAUGUUUCCGAUUAGAUAUAACACCAUUUGCAAAGAAAAAAAAGAUAGAAAAGUUGCUUGCAUAUGAGGACAAACGAAAAUUAUUGUCUACCAAGAACAAUAAUGGAUGAAUAAGAUGAUGAGUGGUGUUAUUGUGUUAUUUACUGUAUUAAAGUUAAGAUCAUUAUAAUCUGGCGCAGUUUUUCAGAUUUGCCAUAAUUACUUAUUGUAGACAAUCAUGCACGUUCGCAUCAUUAUAUUUUAACUCUCUUUCGGUGCAAUUUUACCCUACUAUACGCAAUUAGCAAAUUAUAUGCUCACGAGUUAAUGUAUCACUACAAGAAAACACAUAAAUAAAAACGACGGUUUUCGUAAUUAAUUCGUCGUAAAACAGGGGUUAGACGAAAUAACUACGAAACCCGUUUCGUCGUUAAUCGUUCGUCGUAAUGUAUAUUCCUUCGCUAAUUCGUCGUAAAAUGGUAUCAGUAGAUUCGUCGUAAAAGACACGUAAACACUUUCCUCGUAAAAUACACGUAAACAGUUUCCUCGUAAACUACACGUAAUAUAUUUCCUCGUAAAGUACACGUAAAAUAUUUUUUCGUAAAGUGCACGUAAACAUUUCCUCGUAAAGUGGACGCUAAAUUUCGUCGUUGUUUACACGUAAUGUUUACGACGAAUCUCCAUGUCUGUCGUAGUAAAUUCCUGGGUAAUAUUUAUUCAAUUUCUUCGUUAAGUUGACAUAAUUUAGCUACGAAUUUGCUUCGAUUCUUUAUUUUUUACAAAAAAAAAAUAAUGAAAUAAAGAUAUUUUUAAAUUAUUUCAAAAAUAUUAAAAACGUAAAUAAUAAAUCCAUACGAAAAUAUUUUAUAAAUAUUUAAAUUUCGAAUUUAAUAUAAUACAAUAAAAAGAUGAAAAAAACUAAGGGUUGUUGUUGUUGUUAUGCAUUUCCUCGAAGAGGUCUAGACUCCUCCGUUGUACUUCUUCCUCAUCUUUUUUUUAAAAAAAAAUUAAAAAUAGUUUCAAAAAUAAUUAUCGAUUUUCAAAAAGAGAUUUUGACAGAAAAAAAUUCAAAAAAAAAUCAAAAAAGAAAAAGUUUAUAAAAAUAUUCGAAUUUGAAAAAUUAUCAUUCGAAAACAUAAUUUUUUGGUUUUUAUUUAUUUAAAUAAUUAUUUAUUUUAUAUAUAGAGAACAAUGAUAUAAGAGUUUUUUGCCUUUUAAUGAAGAAUGUAUUUUUAAAAAUGUCUCUUUAGUGAUGAUAUAUAUGAAUAAUGAUGAUAAAAAAGUGGUAAAGACGAAAAUUUUCUAAAAAUAUGAUUGCCAUGCUUUUUUAGUCAUCAACUAAGCCCAUUUAAAUGGGCUUAUAAAUACCCACUAGUGUUAUAUCACUUUUAUAAAGUUUGUUUUAUUUUGUUUUGAGGCAGUUUACUCAAAGUUCUUUUCGUGGACAGCAUGAGUUUCAAACAUCAAAUACUUACAAACGUAGAGAAUAUACUUCAUUAUCACUAAUGCAACGGGUAUACUGAUCGAUGGGUUUUUGGAGAUAAACAUGAAGUUAACUUGGAGACCAAGUUACACCAAUCCUAGUUGAGUAAAUAGGAUUAGGAAAGAUUCAAAUAUGUUAAACCUAAUAAGUUUAGAAAAAUUGUAAAUAUUAUAUAUAAGAAGAUACAAGAACGUUGUCCAACUUGUGAGUUUUAAAGAAUAUUGUGUUUGAGUGUUUGAGUUUUUGAGAAAGUUUUUUAAGGUAAUAAAGAAGAGUUUUCUUUCUAUUGAGAUCUUAUACAAUAUUUGAACUUAUAUGGGUCAUGCAAAAAAAGAGUAUCGAGAAAGUUUCGAGUCUGAACAUCGAUGAUGAAAAAUGCCCAAGUUAACAUGUUUUGUUUAACGCAAGCAAAUUGAGAAGCUGGAUCUUCUGAUUUUCUUUUAGUUUUUAAUAAAGAAUUGGAUAGGCCAAACAUAUAGAAUAAUAAUUUUGGUCACUUUUAUAAUUUCAAACGAACCGAAAAUGUUCACCUUUUUAAUGAUAUCCAGUAAAUACUUUUAUCCCACUACAUGCAUUAUAUUGGUAUAUAUACUAUACUAUAUAGCCACACGUUCACUGAAAGAAAAUGUAUAUAUGUACAUAUAUCCCACACGAGCAAAUACGCCCUCGUACGUUUGAAAUCCUUACAACAAUCCUUUCAAUUACAAAUUUUGCUUCUCUUGAUUAGAUAUAAGUGUGAUCAAAAGCUUUCCCGUUUGUUAAGGCACAAAAGGAUGAACUUUAUUCCAUGAUAUAAGCAAAAAAAACUUUUGAUGUGGAAUUAUAUGUAAUCGCACGCGAAUGAAAUAUCAUCAUACCUAGGUUACUUUACGGUUCCUCAUUUUACUCUUAUCAUCUUCCUUAAUUACCCGUAGCGUGUGAAUAUCUUCAUCAUUAGAGAUUUUAUUACCUUUAUUCCUACUUUUAAAGUUUAAAAUAUUAAAGUCUUACAAGUUACAACAUUAGCAAACUUAGUUUAACUUUUAUCCACACAGAUAUAGCAGUAUUAGCUAUGCCGAAUCUGAAUCAAAAAGAGAAGCUGGUCAGAUCUGAUGUUGACUUGGAAUGGGAUAAUGACACUGGAUAUAUAUGUUUUCUUUUGCAUGUGAUGCAAACUAGUUGCCUCUACCCCUGGCAACCUCUGAAUAAUAUGAAACACAACCCCACACUUUUGGAACUAGAUUCUUCUUCAUAUAUCUAUCUUGACCCAAUAUUUAUUUCGACCUAUUUGGACCAUCGGUUUAUGGAGAACUCGUUUUGAAUACGUGUCAUGCAGAAUUUUCUUUUGCCAUUUAACCAGUAGCAAUAUAUUUAUGCUAUAUAUUUAUGCUAAGGUUAUAUUUAGUAUCAUCAUAUAAACUGCAAAUUCACGGAACACAUAUAUCGUAUCGAUCAUCAUUCAUCUAUAUUUGUACUCGAUGAGUUCUUCUAUACCAUGCGUGAAGUUUGAGAUAUACAAAUCUCAUAAGUCAUAACCUGCAAAAUACUGUGAAUACAAGUUCAUGGAGAUUUAUUUCAAAUACCACCGGUUUAGAUUUAUUGUGGAUAGAUUGUCCCAUUCAUAGAUACAUAAACCUACCCUUUACAAUGUAUUAGUAGACAACGUCCUAGAAGAGAAGUAAGAACGUAAUUAAUCUCGUUUUUUACCCAUUUCACAUUAGUAUUUUCUUCCAGCAUGCAAUUAUUUUUUUAUAAUGAGAAAUACAUGUUUCCGAUUAGAUAUAACACCAUUUGCAAAGAAAAAAAAGAUAGAAAAGUUGCUUGCAUAUGAGGACAAACGAAAAUUAUUGUCUACCAAGAACAAUAAUGGAUGAAUAAGAUGAUGAGUGGUGUUAUUGUGUUAUUUACUGUAUUAAAGUUAAGAUCAUUAUAAUCUGGCGCAGUUUUUCAGAUUUGCCAUAAUUACUUAUUGUAGACAAUCAUGCACGUUCGCAUCAUUAUAUUUUAACUCUCUUUCGGUGCAAUUUUACCCUACUAUACGCAAUUAGCAAAUUAUAUGCUCACGAGUUAAUGUAUCACUACAAGAAAACACAUAAAUAAAAACGACGGUUUUCGUAAUUAAUUCGUCGUAAAACAGGGGUUAGACGAAAUAACUACGAAACCCGUUUCGUCGUUAAUCGUUCGUCGUAAUGUAUAUUCCUUCGCUAAUUCGUCGUAAAAUGGUAUCAGUAGAUUCGUCGUAAAAGACACGUAAACACUUUCCUCGUAAAAUACACGUAAACAGUUUCCUCGUAAACUACACGUAAUAUAUUUCCUCGUAAAGUACACGUAAAAUAUUUUUUCGUAAAGUGCACGUAAACAUUUCCUCGUAAAGUGGACGCUAAAUUUCGUCGUUGUUUACACGUAAUGUUUACGACGAAUCUCCAUGUCUGUCGUAGUAAAUUCCUGGGUAAUAUUUAUUCAAUUUCUUCGUUAAGUUGACAUAAUUUAGCUACGAAUUUGCUUCGAUUCUUUAUUUUUUACAAAAAAAAAAUAAUGAAAUAAAGAUAUUUUUAAAUUAUUUCAAAAAUAUUAAAAACGUAAAUAAUAAAUCCAUACGAAAAUAUUUUAUAAAUAUUUAAAUUUCGAAUUUAAUAUAAUACAAUAAAAAGAUGAAAAAGACUAAGGGUUGUUGUUGUUGUUAUGCAUUUCCUCGAAGAGGUCUAGACUCCUCCGUUGUACUUCUUCCUCAUCUUCUUGUGUGCCUGGAACGGGAUUAUUAAUUAACAUUUAAAAAUCAUCUUCCUAUAUUAUCAACAAAUAUAAACCUAUCUACAAACUAUCCCCUACACUAACCACCUAAUCAACACUAAUUUCCCUAAACUAACCACCUAAGCUAAAUUAGAUAGGAAGUAGAGAGGAAUACCUUGCUAGGAGAAGGAGAGGAAAUUACUACGAAAUGAGAAAGUGAUUCGGUUCGAGUAUAUAUACAUACUUACAUUUCUUCUUAAAGUCCUCAUAACUUUACGAAAUAUUAGCAAGGACCGCGUUUUAUUUUACGACGAAUUAGCAAGGCCCGUGUUUUUGCUUACGACAAUUUUACGAUGAAAAGUUUUUAUUUUCUAAUUUUCUUCGUAAAGCCCACGUAAAUUUACGAGGAAUUAGCAAGCCCCGUGUUUUUUUUACGACGAAUUAGCAAGGCCCUUGUUUUAAUUUACGACGAUUUUACGACGAAAAAUGUUUCAAUUUACAAAAAAAAACCUGAAGGAAGGCACCGGCACCAAAAUAGUCUUAUCAAUCCCAAAUAGCAUUUGAAACUGAUCAGAACUGUCCUAGUGACAGUGCACGCCCUUCAGGUUUAUUCAAACUAUUGUUUAGUUUUUUUUUAUGCAAGUUUAGAAUGGGAGGGAUGUGCUUAUUUAUAGAAGUAGUUGUACUCAUAAAGUCCUUGUAAAUUAACGAGGAAAUAACAAGGCCCGUGUUUUUGUUGCGAGGAAAUAACAAGUCUCGUGUUUUUGUUGCGAGGAAAUAACAAGGCUCGUAUUUUCAAUUUCUUCGUAAAAUCGUCGUAAUAUUACGAGGAAAUAACAAGGCCAGUGUUUUUUUUACGACGAAUUAGCAAGGCCCGUGUUUUAAUUUACGACGAUUUUACGAUGAAAAGUGUUUCAAUUUCAAAAAACAAAACUGAAGAAAGACACAAGCACUAGAACAGUACUUAUCAAUUCCAACUAGCAUUGAAACUGAUCAGAAAUGUUCUAGUGACCGUGCACUGCCUUCAGGUUUUUUAAAACUAUGGAUUAGUUUUUUUUGGUGCAAGUUCAGAAUGGGAGGGAUGUGCUUAUUUAUAGAAGUAGUUGUAGUCGUAAAAUCCUCAUUAUUUAACAAGGAAAUAACAAGGCCCAUGUUUUCAUUUUCUUCGUAAAAUCGUCGUAAAUUUACGAGGAAAUAACAAGGCCCGUGUUUUCAUUUUCGUCGUAAAAUCGUCGUAAAUUAACGAGGAAAUAACAAGGCCCGUGUUUUUUUUACGAGGAUUUUACGAGGAAGGUAUGCAAAUCCCUAUCACCCGAAACCCCAAAACCCAAACCCCAAAUUCCUUAACUUCAUCUAACACUCAAUCUCUUCUUUUUAAACUCCAAACCCCCAAUUGAGUUACACAAAAUCAAAUUAUAUAAUUUAAUUUUCAUGAUUAAACAAACUAAAUACAUGCAUUAAUUCUAAAAAUAAAUCAUAUUUAAGAAAAUUACAUCAUCAUUCGGAUAUAUCAUUGACAUUCUCGUCAUCACUAGAAACAUCAUCAUUUUCAUUAAACUCGUCUUCAACAGCUUCGUCCGUCGUAUCGUCGGGAAGAUCUUCGUACUCACGAUUAUGCGGAUCAAUAAGAAAGAUGUCAUCAGUUUGUUGUUCAGGUUCCUCGACUUCAUUGAUGUGUUCUUCUUGCAAUGGUUGUUCUUCUCCACAGAUUAUUCGUCCACGAGGUGUAACUUUGACAACGACAAACCAAUUGAUUCCUGAUUCUUUCAUCCGAGGGUAUAGAAGGAAGCUGACUUGGUCUGCUUGCGAAGCUAAUAUGAAAGACUCGAAUUUGUUGUACUUUCGUCCACCAUUGACAUCAACUACACCAAAUUUGUUAAAUCGAACACCUCGGUUGACGACGGGGCCGAACCAGUUACAUUUGAAGAGGAUACAUUUCAGCUUCAAUAACCCUGAGAAUUCCACUUCAAUAAUCUCAUGCAAGAUCCCGUAGAAAUCUGUUUCGCCUUUCACACAUAUUCCAUAAUUACUUGUCGCCCGAAGUCUACCAUACUCAUAUGUAUGAAAAGUACAGCCUCGUGUGAAAUACAUCGGUGAUGUGGUGACCUUUGCAACUGGACCUUGAAUUAAUUCAUGAAACCAUGUGGGGUAAUCUGGAUCGUUAUAAUCAACCUGCAAAAAUAAAGAGAACGUUAAAAUUAAUUAAUCAUAAAUUUCGACGCGGAAUAGACGUAAAAUAUUUCGUCGUAAAUUCCUCGUUAUAUUUAUGUCUACUUUACGAUGAAAUCUUGUUUCCUCGUAAAAACCACGUUAAAUUGCGUCGUUUUUACGAUGAAACUUUAUUAUCGUUAUUUUACGACGAAAUUACGUUGAUUUGUUUUUUCUUCGUAAGGUUCUCGUAAAUAAGACGUACAUUUACGAGGACUUAUUUUCCUCGUUACAUUUCGUCGUUAAUUUUGUGUUUUCUUGUAGUGUAUUCAUUCAUUCGCCUGCCAUAAUGAGGACUAUAAAAAUACUCUAUCUGUUCCAUAAUAUAAGAAGUUUUACUUGAAUGCACAAGGAUUAAAAAACUUACCUUUUAGGAGAUAAAAUUAUUAAAUAACACUCUCUCUGUUCUUGAAAUUAAAAUUUUCUAAAGUACGUUUAUUAAGAAUUCAAUAAAUGUUUAUAAUUUACUUUUUCUUUUACUUUAUUAUACAUUUUCCAAUAACUUUUGGGCAAAUCUCCAAAAUAGCACCUUUCUAAGUUUAUAUCACAAAAAUAGCACUCAAAAACUAAAAUGACCAAAAUAGCACCUUUCUAAGUUUAUCCUUUGAAAAUUUUAAUUUUUUAAUUUUUCAAAAUUUGAAAUCUUAUCCCCAAAACCUCAUUUCUCAACUCUAAACCCUAAACCCUAAACUCUAAACCCUAAACCGUAAACCCUAAACCCUAAGCUCUAAACCCUAAACUUUAAACCCUAAACCCUAAAAUUUAAACCCUAAACCCUAAACUCUAAACCCUAAAUCCUAAAUCCUAAACCCCACCAUUUAACUCUAAACCCUAAGUUUGUGACUUUUGAUAAAACAUUAAGUGCUAUUUUUGUGACUUUUGACCUUGAGUGUUAGUUUGGGAACAAAAACUUGAUUUAGUGCUAUUUUUGUCUUUUUCUCAUAACUUUUCACCAAUGAAAUUUAAUCAAUUCAAAUAUUUUCAUUUAACGUUUCUUAAAAUUAUAAAAAGUACCUUAAACAUAUAAAAAAAUCUAUCUUUGUGGAAAAAGUAAAAAACCUAAAACAUCUUACUUUCGGGAACGGAAAGAGUAUAAAUUAACAUAAAUUAACCAAUCAUAAAUAAUGCAGUAAAAUGUUAUUGGUUAACCAAUUUUCUAUAAAGUUAAAGCACCUUGAAAAUAUCAAAACAUCUUAUAUUUUGAAACAUCUAAACUUUUCCAAAGCAUUUGCGGAAGGGACGGAGUAUAUAAUUUGAAAAGAAAAUUAAAGUGUUCGUUUAAUUAAUGCUAUAUAGUUACCAUUCAUUGCAGUUUGAAUUUUGAACAAGGACGUGCUGUAUCUUCAAAAAUAAUGUAUCUGAGUUUUAUUAAAAGAUUGCUCAUAUCUUACGCUCGUUUCAACGGCUAUUACCAUGAUUGUAUACAUACCUGAUUAAUUAUGCUAAACCUAAUCGAAACUUGACCUAAUUAGGCCAGCAACUUUCGGCCACCUCUGCUUAUACCAUCCACGGAUAUUUAGUCUUUUUUAUGUUUCCAAAAUUAAAGUUUGUAAAAAUCAAUGAUAGAAAACUAGAUAAGCAUCCAGUUAAUUUAUCCAUGAAGAAAAAAUAAUGGAGAGGUGAUAAACCAAUUUUCACUUUAAAGAAAACAAGAGCAAGUAUGAACCACUUAUAAGUGAACGAAAAAACUGAAACAUAACAAACGAACUAAAAUAUAUUAGCAUUAGUCGAACUUAUGUAUUAAAUACGAAGCAUCCACACACUAAACAUAUGUAAUGGCACAACCGUACGUGAGCAAACAAAGCAAUAAUUAACAAAAGGACCAAACUCUCAAAUCCUUUAAAUUUGAUAUAUAUAUAUAUUCAAAUAUUCAAUGCAACCCUAAGAGCACGUUCAACCAUAGAACCCCUAAUGGGUUCUUAAUUCAUUUUAAAGUAAUAAAUUUAGCUUAAUAACCAUUGCUAAGAAUCUCUUUGUUUAAACUGCUCUAAUGGUAGAUUCUUAAUUAGAGGUUAUUAAAAAAAAAUAAUACUAAAGAUAAAUUUAAUUUUAGUAAAAAUUUAUUUAUUAAAUAAAAUAUAUUACAAGAAAUCAUUUUAAACAUAGAUUUAAAAAAAAAUUACAGCAAAAAUUACUAAAAUAAACAAAAAUAAUUUGAAAAAAGCACAUAAUAAAUCAGUUGUUGUCCUCGUCACGUCCGAAUUUACACCAUAUAUGUUCAACCAAAUCAGCUUUCAGUUGGUGAUGCAUCUGUCUAUCACGAAUUCUAGUUCGAACACCCAUCAUAUUGGCGAUAUUUGUAGGGGUAUCUGUAGAAUACGUGAGAUCAACAUGUGAACUCACGUUGUGUUCUUGUUGGAACUCUGAAACAUCAUAUUGAGUGUAGCCAUCUCGUUCGUCUUCUACUAUCAUAUUAUGGAGUAUGAUACAUGCUCUCAUAAUCUUUCCAAUUUUGACUUUAUCCCAAAAAAGAGCUGGAUUCUUAACAAUGGCAAAGCGAGCUUGUAAGACUCCAAAUGCACGCUCGACAUCUUUCCGGGCAGCUUCUUGAUGUUGAGCAAAUAAAACUGCUUUCGGUCUUUGUGGUAUUGGAAUAGAUUGGAUAAAAGUUGCCCAUUUUGGAUAAAUACCAUCGGUGAGAUAGUAAGCCAAAUGAUACUCUCUUCCAUUGACAGAGUAAGUGACUUGCGGAGCAUGACCUUUUAUUAUGUCAUCGAAAACAGGUGAGCGAUCUAGAACAUUGAUAUCAUUUAAGGUACCUGGAGGUCCAAAAAACGCAUGCCAUAUCCAUAGAUCAUACGAAGCAACUGCCUCUAAAACAAUCGUGGGUUUUCCCGAACCACGUGAAUAUUGACCUUUCCAAGCGGUAGGACAAUUCUUCCACUCCCAGUGCAUACAAUCAAUGCUUCCUAUCAUUCCGGGAAAUCCGCGAUGCUCUCCGAUAUAAAGUAGGCGUUGAAGAUCAGCCGGUGUUGGUUUUCUUAGGUACUCAUCGCUGAAAUUUUUUAUUAUUCCUUCGACAAACUGUUCCAAACAUGACCGAGUAGUAGUUGCACCGAGCCGAAGGUAUUCGUCAACCGCAUCAGCCGCAUGACCAUAUGCCAAGACUCGAAUAGCUGCGGUACAUUUUUGAAGUGUAGAGAGACCAAGCCUUCCGAGACCAUCUGGUUUUUGUUGAAAGAAUUCCAUUUCAUUGGAGAGUCGAUCAACAAUUUUCAUGAACAACAGCUUGUUCAUUCUAAAUCGUCGGCGGAAUAUAUUAUCGGGAUAUGUUGGUGUGUCACUGAAAUAAUCAUUCCACAGCUGGAGAUUGCCUGCUUCACGGUUUCUUUCGAUAUAAGCUCUUUUUUU
rnacentral:lncRNA from 1 species